rnacentral:lncRNA from 1 species
UUAAUAUCAGGGCACCUGGAGGCAUAUCUGUGAAGGUUGAGCCAAGAAGCUUGAAGUUCGAUAAGAUAAACGAAGAGAAAAUGUUCAAGGUCACUCUAGAGGCCAAGAAAGGGUUUAAGAGUAAUGACUAUGUGUUUGGAGAGAUAACCUGGUCUGAUGGGAAACACCAUGUGAGGAGUCCUGUUGUGGUGAAGAAGAUGGAAGUAGCAGCCUAAGGUUGAAGGACACUGACCAGGCGUCUGGAUUUGUAGGUGGAAGGCCAGCGUGUAGAGAUCUAUAUAUCUCCAUGGUCACCAAAUCGAUCUUCAAAUUCCCGUUCCAUGUCAUGACAAGUAUCGAAUGUCACCAAAUCGUGUCAUUUUUUUUAUGCCACUAAUCUAGUGAUUGAACUAAGAAAAUAAAAAUAAAAAUAAAUGGUUUUGUUUUAGAAUAUUUUGGAAUGGUUUUUGGUUUUUAUCUACUUUCUAUUGAUUUUGUUUAGUUGCUUUAGUAUUUUUGUUUUUCUAUUUAUAUGUUAUUUAUGGCUCUGUUUUUUACCUUUUGUUGUGUGACAACUGAUUAGGUUACUGUGCAUUAAGUUUUUUGAGAGUGCAGGUAAUGCUGUGAAGCCUAGCUUACCAUCUUUCAUUUAUUAACAAAAUCUUAUGAUAAAGACAUUCAAUUGUCAUAUCCCUCAAUUGGAGAACAAAAGGAUAUCCAUACAUUUUGUAGGUGUCAAAAAAUAUGAAAGAUCUAUUUAUGUUAUUUAUUUACCUUAGUUUUUUUUUAGGCUUAAUAAUUCUAUCUAGAAAAAUUAUUUCUAGUAUCUAAUUAAUAACAUAUUGCACUGCGAUUAAGCUAACAAUGAAUGAAUUCCCACAAAGAUUUAUCUACUUAUCGUGGCUUUUUUUUUUCUUCUCUUUAGGCUUCAUAAUUGUACCCAAGAAAAUCACAUAUUGCAUUACAAUUAAGUUAAUGAUGAAUGAAUUCCUACAAAGACCUUUUACCGAAGAAUGUGACCAUCUUAAGAGGUAGUAUAACAUCAUAAUUUUCUAAAAUAUCUUAGGUGUUGUUUUUGAACAAGUAUAUCCAAUUCAAACAUAAUAGUAAUAUAUAUUAUUUGGAAAAUUCUACGUUCAAUUUGUUCUUUGUCACUUAACUUUUUUUAUUCUUAAUUUAAUCAUUUCACAUUAAAUUAAUUUAGGAUUGAGUUUAAUGUUUUAUUUCAGUUGGGCUCUAGCGAUAUUAAUAAUAAGUUUUGAUGUUAAGUUGAUGAUUAAUUUGGUAAAAUAAAAUUUAAAUUUAUUGAUUCAAAUCAAUUAAAAUGUCAACGACUUAAUUUUAAACUGUAAAUACUCAGUCUUUUUUUCUUUAAAAAAUAAUAUUUUUAUUUCAACUUUCUAACUCAAUUUUUAAUUGAAACUAACAUAUAUAACGCAUGAAUACAUCAAACUACAGCAACAAAAGAGCAGUCUUUUGUUGUAGAGUAUGAACAUAAAAUUAAACAGUCUUCUCUAAUUUAGAGCAUAAAAUAAAAUCGAUGUGCUAAUAGCUAACCAUAAACAGACAUAUUGAGGAAUUAAACUGCUGGCAUGGUCAUACCCUCCUGUUGAUAUAAUUGGGUCAAAUGGAAUAUUUAUUUUAAGCAAAAGCAAGAAAAAAGUAGUCUAAAAUAUGAUAAAGUAGUAGUAGUUGUGUUAAGCAAAAAGGAAGAAAUGUUGUCUUAUCAUCCCACGUUUUUGCCUGCAUGGACCGACGGAUCGCCUGCGAGAAGAAUGCUUUUUUUUUUUUUAAAGCAUUCUUCUCAUAGGCGAUCCGUCGAUCUAUGCUUGAACAUGUAAGAAAAGUAAACCUAAUGUAUUCUCGGAUCUUUUAUUAUUAUUAUUAUAAAGAAUAAGUUUGAACUCCAUCUUUUUCUAAAAGAAAGGAGAUACGAAUACUAUUACAAAGAAAAAAAAUGAUUGGGAUUUUGAAAUUACUGUAUACCUAGACAUAAUGUAUUGUAAACGGAACAAUAUAAUUAUGUUUUUGCCUUUAUAUAUAGAAAAAAAAAAAACAUUAGACUAGCUAUUGGGAGUAAUACUGAAUUUUUUCAUGGACCAUGUGUUCAUUAUUAUAUUUAUUAGGGACAAUGCAGUCUGUUUACAUUUUUAUAGAACAAUGUAAUGACUAGAAUAACCUUAAAAUCAAAAUAAUUUUAUCUGAAUUUAGAGAUUGACUUGUUUUUUCAUUUUUAUAUGUAUAAUGAGUCUACAUACUUAACCUUGGAUGCAAAUUUUAUUAAACUUGGGAUCGAGGGCUUCUUUGUAUUUUCAUCAUUAUUUUUUAGUUAUAAUAUGGUCAAGUUUGGGGUAACUUGGUAUUUUAGUAAGUGUAAGAAAUAUUUUUUUUAAAAAAAAUGAUUGACGUGUACAACACACACAUUAACGUGUUAGGCGGCAUAUGCGGAUUUAUAUGGUGUUAGAAAAUGGCCAUCCGUGACGGUUAACAAUCCUCUUGGCAUCCCUUUUCUGAUGAAGUGGCGGCGUGUGCAGCGGUGUGGCUCCUACCACUUUUUUUUUUCUUCUCACUUCUCCUUGAAAAACAAGUUACCCAAUCAAAAAUCUAUAUUUUCCUUUUAAUUUUUUUUUUUAAGUUUAUGAUUUAGUUUCCUUUUGAUUAUCUUAUUUUCAUUUUGAUUUUUUUUGAAAACUUUAAAUUUUUUAUUUAUUUUGCCUUUAAUUUAAAUGUUAUUUUUAUUUCAUGUUUGAUUCUCUUUCUUUUGAUUUCUUAUUUAUGUAUUGAUUUUAUUUUUUUUGUAAAAUGUAAGAUUUUUUUCAAAUUCAGCCUAAAAUCAAACAAUGUUAUUUUUAUGCUUUGUCUGUUUUUGUUUAACAUUUGAUCUUUAUUAUUUUAUAUUGCUAUUUUAUUUUAUGGAACCUUUUGUCAAAUUAUUUUUUUUUCUUUCAAUUUCAUCCCUCAAUCUUGGGUUGGUUAGUUAGAAAUUGAGGGUCAUGGUUUUUUUCAAUUGAGUUACACCAGUUUCAUGACUCUGGUAAAAAAUUUAAAAGUUUGGGUCAACUUGGGUGGUGUCGACUUUUUUCCCCCUCUUUUUACACUAAUUUCCUUUUAGUUUUACUCCUUUAAUACUUUAGAUUUGUGAAGUUAUUCGUGUUUUCUUCAAACUCAUUUUUAAAAUCUAACUAGAUUUAUUUCACUCCAUUAUCAUGGUCUCUUGACCUUGAUAGUAAGUUUUUCUAUUUACCUAGGGAUCGCUCUACGUUUUUCUUUUGGAGUUAUCUUUUUAAAAUUGAUUAUUUUUUUCUAGUUUAGUUGUUCAUUAUUUUUCUUUGCAUUUAGGCUCCGUUUGUUUGCAGGAAAGUGAAUUCCUUUUUGAAUUGGAAAGUGAAUUCCGGGAAAGUAUUUUCCGAUGUUUGGUAGUGUUAUGGAAAAUGAACUGGAAAACACUUUCCAGUGUUUGGUUAUGUCAUGGAAAAUGAGCUGGAAAAUAACUUAUUAUAUUUUAUUUUUUUCAAGUUUAUUAAAUAAUGAGGAACAAAUUUACAAUUAAAAAGUUGAAUGAUAAUGAAAUUGAAAAAAAAUAUAAUUUCAUAAAUUAUCUCAAAUAAAACAAAUAAUAAUCAAAUAAUAGGGUCAAAUCUAAAAUUAAAAAAAAAAUGAAAAAUGAAGAAUUAAAUAAUAAUAAUCAACAUUUCAUAAAUUAUUUCAAAUAAAAUAAGUAACAAUCAAAAGAAUGAGGAUCAAAUUUGAUAAAUAAAAAAUUUCAAUAAAAAAUGAUAAGAAAAAAGCAAAUAGCAAUUAUAAAAAUAAGGACAAAGUUAAUAUAAAAUAAAAUUUUAAGAGAUGAAAUUGAAAAAUAAAUAUUCAAAACAAAAUAUAUAUAGUAAUCAAAAGUUUGAGGAUCAAAUUUGAUAUAAUCAGCAAAUAAUGGCAUUUCUAAAUUUUUCACAACUUCCGGAAAGUGUUUUCCCCUCAAAUUUUUCAGGAAAACACUUUCCUGAAAACCAAGCCAAAUUUUCCUUUUACUGGAAAGUGUUUUCCAUUGACCAACUUUCCUACUGGCAAAUAAACACAAGAAAGUUUGGAAAGUGCUUUCCCGGAAACCACUUUCCGGAAAACAAACACAGAUAAAAGGAAAACACUUUCCUGAAAACCAAGUCAAUUUUUUUUUUGACUAAAAUUGACUGGAAAGUGUUUUCCGUUGACUAGAAAGUGUUUUCCGCUGACCGGAAAUUGUUUUCCGUUGACCAACUUUUCUAAUGACAAACAAACACAAGAAAGUUUGGAAAAUGGUUUCCCGGAAACUACUUUCCGAGAAACAAACAAGUCCUUAGCUUCAUAAAUUUGGGAAAAUGAUGAUUUUUUAAAAUAAAAAAAAUACUUUUAUACAUAUAUAUGCAUUUAUAUUAUUUCUUAAAAAAGUGUUAAAAUUAGAACGACAAUUUAUAAUACUUCAAACAUGUUAUUGUUUCAUAGCUCAUCGAACUAGAUAUAUGUUAUAAUAUCUUAAUUACCAGCAUAGAUCAAUCUUAAUUAUAAUCCACCAUAAGUACAAUAACAUGAACAGGCCAUGAAUUAUGACACGGUGGUCUGCAACUGUAUCCUUCUGCUCUUUUGCUCUUCUUUUUCUCGACAAGUAAUUGUUGAGUGGGUCUUUGUAGCCCAGAAACCAACACUUUCUUUUGGGUGUGUGUAUAUAUAUAUUUUAUACUAUACCGCAAGUCUUGGAGACAAUCUUCCACUUUAUUAGCCAUAUAUUUGUGGGUUCCAUAUAAAUUCAACAAGAUCAAUGGCAAUUAGGAUUAUGUUUUGUUAAUAGAUUAAAUAGAUAAUUUGAUUCACGUCAUUUGUCUCUCAAUAUUAGAAUUAAUUACUCGGUUGAUUCUGAAAUUUAAUGAUAACUUUACGGAGUUAAUCUAAUGGUUAAGAAAUCAUGCUUUUAUCUUUAUUUUUUCAGCUAAACAUUUGGAAUUAACAUUCUAAAAAAUCCAUUAAAUUUCUUUAAAUAUAUCGAAUCGAUGUAUUUUUUUUUAAAGAAAAACUUAGUUUUAAUACUGGACACGCUAAAAAAAUAGGGUUUAAAUACUAUGGUGCACAACUUUGAUAAAUGUCGUUAUGAAAAAGCUUAUGCUGUCCACCUUUUCGACAAGCAUGAUACUCCUUUAAUCUUCUUUUCUAAGUAAAACAGGACACCACAGUUCCAUUUAUUUUUCCUUUUUGCUCCAAAAGACAGCUUACAAAGCCCUCCUCUCAUCAAAAGAGGAAGUAAAGUAAGAAGAAAAGGGAGAAAACAACAAUAAUCCCGAUGAUAAAGGGCCUAGCUAGCUACAGUACUGUUCCGUUUUAGGUUCCAGUCUUCUAUCAGUUGUGAGAAAAAGAAAAUGAUUUGGUUAAUGUAUUGCGUACAGCAGAAAAGAGAGGAGAAAACAUCAACAAUAAAAAAAAAAAAAGCAAAACAUUCAAGAACAGUAAUGCGGUGUUAUCAUUGCACUAACUCGUAAUGUAAAUUAUAAUUAGACAGUGAAUCCAGGAUUAAAGAGAACAUGCGUUGGAUCUAUGACGAGGAAAGAACAGAAAAUACCAAUGAAGGCCUUCGUCUAAAUAAAAUGGACAAUACACUGCAUGAAUCCACGGUGUUUUCACUCACAAAGCACAAUAAAUAACUUAGCUGAUUUAUUUAUUUAUUUAUUUUUAUUUUUUUUUUGUAACUGGGUGAUGUUUACGGUAAAAUAAACUGGAUUUCUUGUUUUUCCUUUGUUUUCACCUCUUUGCUGAGGGGAUGGAACUGUUGAAAGCUAAGCUAAUUACUUGUGAUUAAAGUCUUAGAAGAAGAUUACGUAGACCGAAGGAAGAAGGAUGAAAAAAUUGAAGAAAUUCUGUUAAAACAGUUAAAGAGUUAGUUAUAAUCGUUAUGGCAGUUAUAUCAGUUUUUACUGUUACAAAAACUGUUACAAAUCAUUCUUACAUGUGUAAGAAUCGUGACCCUCCAUUAAUGGAUGGAUGAGAUGAUCUUGAUUCCUAAAAUACCGGAAUCAGUUACAUACAAUGUAUAUAAAUGUAGAGUUUGCUGCAUUGAAAAAUAUAUAAAAAAUACACAAGAAUUUCUUCAUAAUCUUCUCUGCACAUUUAAACAUAUUCUUCUUUUUAAAACCUUCAAAAAAUAAACAUGGUAUCAGAGCUUACAAACUGAUUCCAAAGGGGCGUAAACUGUGACAAACAGAUUGAUUAAACUAUUACUUACUCAAAAAAUGGUAGGAUCAAGCUCUGUUGGAGGAGAUUUAAGAACUUCAUAGUUCAAUGGCACAAAUUAUGAUUUUUGGGCUGUAAAAAUGGAGACUAUCCUCAUAGCAUUCGAUCUAUGGGAAGUAAUAGAAGUUGGAAUCAAUUCUCAUCCAUCAUCUAAGGUUGCAACUGGAUCAUGCGAUGAAGAGAGUGAAGUUGAGCAAACUACAUUGCAUGCAUCCACGACAUCCAGAGAAGAAAAAAUCAAGAAUGCAAAGGCAUUAAGCCUUAUACAAGGAGCAUUAACAGAUGACCUCUUCCCACGAAUAAGAAAUGAAAAGACUGCAAAAGGAGCUUGGGACAUUUUGAGUAGAGAAUUCAGAGGAGAUAAAAAGGUUAGAGCUAUAAAACUUCAAGCAGUGAGAGCUGACUUUGAAUACCUGAGAAUGGCAGAAAGUGAGAGCUUAGAUGGAUAUCUAGCUAAAUUCUUUGCAACUGUGAAUAACCUGAAAUCAUUAGGAGAAGAUGUAUCAGAAAAUAGAAUUGUGCAGAAAUUGCUAAUGAGUCUAAGCAGAAGGUAUAAGUCCAUUAUGUCAAUCAUUGAGGAGACACGAGAUCUUGAUGUUCUGAGAGCAAAAGAAGUCAUUGCUUUUGUGAAAGUUUAUGAUAAGAGGGAAGAUCUACAUGAUGAAAGGGAUAAGCUAACAGGAAUAGAGAAAGCCUUUAGCAGUUUAAAGAUUGAAAACAAUCAAGCCUACAGCUCACACAAGUGUUUCCAAGGCAGACAUCCUCAAAGAUGGCAAUCACAAGACAGGAGAGGACCAAAUCCAUUUCCAAACAGAAAUGGAACCAACUAUAAUAAUGCAAGCUAAAACAACACUGCUUGGGGAAGUAGUCAAGCGAGUGUAAAGCCACAAUGCCAAGUCUGCCAGAAGCAACAUUUUGGUUUAUGUAGACACAAAGGAAAACCAAGAUGUGGAAGAUGCAACCGGUUUGGCCAUAUUGCAAAAGAUUGCGAGAGUCGCAGUCACAAACAACUAGCAAAUUAUGCCAAAGAAGAGAGAGUUACCACAGGAACUGUCGCACGUGUGCGACGUUGCGGCGAUCACCCACCACCCCAUGUAUGAAGGUGUGGUAUGUAUCUAUCUAUUGUGAAAAAUAUGGUGAGACAAGGAAUUCUUUGUCUCUUAGCGGUGAAAAAUGGACCGGAAGUCGCCACCUAGUAUUCUAGUUGUUAGGAACCCUAACUGGUCUUUAGAGAUUAGGUACGGAGACUAGUUGCGUAAAGGGAAGGUGUUAACACCCCAACUACUCCCUACCUACGGUAGGUUGCAUUGUUUUGUCUAAUAAAAUCUAAGUCAUGUUGUGGUUUCUUAUUGUUCAGAAUAUGCAUUACGUGUAAUGUCAUACCCCAGGUUCUAUUGUCCGAAAAAAAGAAUUAAAUAUCCGGAAUACACAAUACGUGUAAUAUCAUGCCCCGGAUACUAAGAGAUAAACAAAAUAAAAUUUUUGUUUGUUUUUGAAAUUUUGGCCAAUGUUCUCUUGACUUUAAUAAACUGGUUAUUAAAGCCAAAAUACAUGCAAACAUUGAUUUUUGGUGUAUAUAAAAAACACAAUAUGAUUUUUUAGCUUGGAGACACUUGGCCGUAUGCACAAAAACAUUUUUUUUCUUUUUUUUAAUUUUUUUUUGUAUUUUUGGAAAUUUUGAUGAAAACCGGGUAUUUUAAUAUCGGAUUUUGUAUUUUUAGCAACAUAAAAACACUGCUUGAUGUUAAUCAAAAUGACAUAAAAAAUACACGGAAACUUGUAAAAUUACAAACAAAUAUUUUUUUGAAUUUUUUUUAACAAAAAAAAGGGGCCAAAUUUGGCCCAACCAUCCUGGGCUGGGCCUGACCCGGCCCAUAUAUUGUGGGCUGGACUCAACCUAGCCGUAUGGGCUGGGCUGAUGUUCCAGCCUGUAACCAAUGAAAGGGGUUGGUUACUGUACGCAGCACAGUAACCAGUAAAAAAUAUAAUUAGCUAGUUAUUGUGCUAAAUCUUCAUUUGCUGCAGAACGUAAACGUUUUGCAUGCAAAUGAAGCUGAAGCGAAAAACAGACAGGGGAGGGGAGAAAAUUACCUGGAGCGAUGGCGACGCUGGCGACGCUGGCGACAACGGAUGUGGCAGGGGUGGUGGUGUAGGCGGCGACUAUUCUCUUUCCUUGUCUCCUGUUUCCUCUGUUUCUCUUCUCAGCCACCCUCUCCUCUACCUUUUUUUCAUUGUCUGCUCUUCUUCUCCUCUUUCCCUUUGUGGCUGUCAGUGGCGGUUGGAGAUGGCAGUGUCAGCGGUGGUCAAGUGGUGUGCUAUGGCGGUGGAGAGGAAGCAUGAUGGCAGCUGCGGUUGUUCUUCUCCGGUAUAAAUAUAUUCUUGUCACUUCCCUUUCUCUUCUCUGCCUCCUUUGCCGGUUUCCCUUUCCCUCCUCUGCCUUCCCCAAAUAUUCCCCUCCCUUUUUCUGUAAUACUUCCCUCAGGUGGUUCCAGCUUUCCCUUCUCUCCCAGUCUUUCUCUUUUUCGGUCUCUUUAAUAAACUCUCAGUUCUUUCUCUUGGUUUCCCUUAAAAAUCAUUCCCAGCUUCCUCCCUUUUUCUCCUCUCUUUUCUCCCUUCUUUCGGCACUCCCUCCUCUGGUAUUUAUAGGCAGAGGAGGGGAGGGCCACCUUACCCUUGUCAUGGUGCAGGGUAAGGUGAGCCGGGGAGUUGUUCGCAGGGUAUGGUGCUUUUAGUGCGAGGGCUUGGUGGUGUUAGUGAAGGGACAAGUCGGGUCGUCGUUGGGUUUUCGGGUUUUGGGACAGAGAGAGAGGGGGGAAUAGAAAACAGGGGAAAAAUGCUUCUUCUUCCCUUGCUCUUUGCGUGUGCAGGGGAAGAAGAAAGCUUAUGGUGCCGUUCACAACGACACUGUUUGCCCUUUUUUUUUUUUGAAAAUGCAUGAAACGGCGCCGUUUUGACCAAAACGCGUUGUUUCAUUUAAAUGAAAACAGGCGCCAGAAUGCAUUCAAUUUCAGAUCAGCCCCUCAAUUUGCGCGCUUUUUCAUUGUAGUCCUUGGUUUUGGAUUUCUUCGAUUAAGUCCUUAAUUGGCCACCAGACUUCAAUAUGCAUGCAAUUAAGCCCCUGAUUUGACCCAAUCAACUCUAAAAAAUAUAAUUUGACGUCAGAACUUCAAUUUCUUCCAAUUAAAACCCCAAAUUGACUUUAAAAUCAAAUUUUCUUGCAAUCAAACCCUCCAAUAAUUCAAUUAAACUUUCAAUAAAAUUUAAUUGAGUCCAUAAACAUCUGAUUUUGUACUUUUCUUCCUCUAAUAAAAUUUCCUUAAUAAAAAAGGCUCUCACUGGUCAAUGAUAUACUGUCAAAUUUCAAUUCAUUGAUAUAUUUUUGAUAUAUUUUAUUAUUAUUAUUAUUAAUUAAUUUUUUUAAAAUAAUUUUUUUUCUUGUUUCUUAUACGGGGACCAAAAAAAGGGUUGCAACAGGAACCAUGUUCUAUGCUUGCCAUUCUACAAGUCUGCAAGACAAAAAGGUAUGGUUUGUGGAUAAUGCUUACAACAACCACAUGACCUCUCAAGAAUCCGAACUAAUCAACAUCGAUAGAAUAGUAACCUGCAAAGUAAAGAUGGGCUCAGGAGACCUUGUGCAAGCAACUGGCAAAGGCACAUUGGUUGUAGAAACUCAACAUGGGAAAAGAUACAUAAAAGAGGUACUACUUGUUCCUGGAUUGGAUGAAAACCUAUUGAGUGUAGGGCAUGUGAUGGAGCAUGGUUAUUACAUUCUGUUUGGAGAUAACAAAGCAGUAAUAUUUGAAGAUGAAAGCCUCAACAAUGUUAUAGCAAUAGUGAUCAUGAGAGGAAAUCGAUGCUUCCCACUUUCACUUGAAUCCAUCACACCUGCAGCAAGGAAAGCUUCAGUGACUGAGGAUUCCUGGAUAUGGCAUAGAAGACUGGGACACUUGAAUUUUGCCAGCAUGAAGAAGAUGCAGCAGAAGGAGAUGGUAUGCGGGCUUCCUGUUCUGACAGAAGUAGAAGAUGUUUGUGCAGGCUGUGCAUCAGGCAAACAUCACAGGGAGAAAUUCGACAAAGAGCAAGCGUGGAGAGCAAGUGAUCCACUGGAAUUAAUCCACACUAAUUUGUGUGGACCAAUGCAGAAUGAAUCCAUAGGAGGAAAUAGAUACUUUAUCACAUUCAUUGACGAUUACUCAAGAAUGUGUUGGGUAUAUUUCCUCAGAAACAAAUCUGAUGCACUCAAUGUGUUCAAGAAAUUUAAGGCAUUUAUUGAGUUGCAAAGUGGAUAUAAAUUAAAGAAGCUGAUAAGUGACAGAGGUAAUGAAUAUACUUCAAAAGAGUUUAAAGAAUUCUGUGUAAAACAAGGAACGGAGAGGCAACUGACAGUUUGAUACUCUCCUUAAUAGAAUGGAGUUGCAGAGAGGAGAAAUAGAACAAUUUGUGAAAUGGCAAGAUCCAUGCUAAUAGAGAAAGAAAUGUCAAUAAUCUUCUGGGCAGAAGCUGUGAAUACAACUGUGUAUAUUCAGAAAAGAUGUUACACAACAUCUGUUACUGAAAAGACUCCUUUUGAAGCCUUUACGGGAAGGAAGCCAGGAAUCAAGCAUCUAAAGGUGUUCGGUUGCUUGUGCUACACACAUAUCCCAUCAUCACUAAGGCAGAAAUGGGAUAGCAAAGCUGGAAAGAGAGUGUUUGUUGGGUAUGGUAGCUGUGAGAAAGGGUAUAGAAUAUAUGACCUGAAAACUGAGAAGAUUGUUCUUUCAAGAAGUGUGAUUUUCAGUGAAGAUAGAGCAUGGAAUUGGGAAAGAAAUUUGAUGAACCAAAGCCACUUGUCUUUCAAUCAUGAAGGGGGUGAAGUUGAAGGUGAAAAUUCUGAGGAACACUCUGCUGCAGUCCAACCCGAUAAUGUUGAACAUUGCAAUCAAAAUUCUACAGUUGGAGAGUUAGUUGAGAAGAUUGACAGUGAUAACAGUCAACAAUCUUCACCGAGCUCUACUCUAGUAAAAUUAAAAACCUUGGAAGACAUACAUGCAAGGUGUCACAUGUGCAUCAUAGAACCUGAGAACUAUCAAGAAGCUUUUGGAAAUAAAGCCUGGCAGAAAGCUAUGAAGGAAGAAUUGGAAGUGAUAGAGCAGAACAAUACUUGGGAAUUGGUGGAGAGACCAAGUGAUAAAACUGUGAUAGGAGUGAAAUGGGUGUACAAAACUAAGCUUCAUCUUGAUGGAACAGUUCAAAAACAUAAGGCUCGCCUUGUAGCAAAAGGAUAUGCACAAAAAUCCAGAAUUGACUAAAAUGAAACAUUUGCACCAGUAGCAAGGUUAGACAUAAUCCGGACUCUCAUUGCACUUACAACACAAAAGGGGUGGAAAUUGUUUCAAUUGGAUGUUAAAUCAGCAUUCCUAAAUGGUGUUCUUAAAGAAGAAGUAUAUGUUGAGCAGCCUGAAGGGUUUGAAGUAAAGAAUGCAAGACACAAAGUUUACAAACUAAAGAAGGCCUUGUAUGGAUUAAAGCAGGUACCGAGGGCCUCGUAUAGUGAAAUUGAUGCAUACCUCUCUAUGUGCAAAUUCAAAAGGAGCACAAGUGAAGCUACUUUGUAUACAAGAUCAGACAUGGAAGGUAAUUUGAUCAUUGUCUCAAUCUAUGUUGAUGACAUUGUGUACACUGGCAGCAAUGAGAGGAUGCUCAGUGAAUUUAAAAAGGAAAUGAUGCAAAGGUAUGAGAUGUCUGAUCUUGGAAUCCUUUAUCAUUUUAUUGGCAUGAGAAUACUACAAACCAAUCAAGGGGUGUUUAUUCAUCAAGGGAAAUAUGCCAAAUCCCUGCUUAGUAAGUUUGGACUUGAUGAUUGCAAACCAGUCUCCAUUCCCUUGGCCACUGGUGAGAAGCUGAAGAAGGUGGAUGGGAGUGAGUUGGCUGAUGAAGAACUUUAUAGAAAAAUAACAGGAAGUUUACUAUAUUUGACAGCUACAAGACCUGAUCUAAUGUAUGUUGCAAGUUUAUUAUCACGGUUCAUGGCUGGACUUACCAAGAUUCACAUGGGAGCUGCAAAAAGAGUUCUAAGAUAUGUGCAAGGAACUCUCAGCUAUGUGAUUGAAUAUGUAAGGGAUCAAUCAGCAACUCUCAUUGGAUUUUAUGAUGCAGAUUGGGCAAGAAGUAAAGAUGAUAGCAAGAGCACUUCGGGCUAUGCAUUUAGCUUUGGAAGUGGAGCAUUCUCCUGGUCUUAUAUGAAACAAAACACAAUAGCAUUAUCAACUUUAGAAGCUGAGUAUGUCUCAGCAUCUGAAGCAACUACUCAGGCCAUUUGGUUACGGUUUGUUCUUGAUGAUUUUGGUAAAAUGCAAGCUAAGGCAACACCCUUGUUCUGUGAUAAUAUGUCAACAAUUUCAAUGGCCAAAAAUCUAGUUUUUCAUCAAAGAACAAGACACAUAAACAUGAAGUAUCAUUUCAUAAGGGAGGCUUUGCAAGAAGGAGUAAUUAAUGUGAAGUUCUGCAGAAGUGAAGAACAACUUGCAGACAUCUUCACAAAAGCACUACCCAGAGACAGAUUCAAGAAACUAAGACUAAAUCUUGGAGUUAAAUCAGUAAACAGCUUAGGAGAUGUUGCUGAAAGCUAAGCUGAUUACUUGUGAUUGAAGUCUUAGAAGAAGACUACGUAGACUGAAGGAAGAAGGAUGAAGAAAUUGAAAAAAUUCUGUUAAAACAGUUAAAGAGUCAGUUAAAAUUGUUAUGACAGUUAUAUCAGUUUUUACUGUUACAAAAACUGUUACAAAUCAUUCUUACAUGUGUAAGAAUCGUGACCCUCCAUUAGUGGAUAGAUGAGAUGAUCUUGAUUCCUAAAAUACCGGAAUCAGUUACAUAUAAUAUAUAUAUAAAAGCAGAGUUUGCUGCAUUGAAAAAUAUAUAGAAAAUACACAAGAAUUUCUUCAUCUUCUCUGCACAUUUAAGCAUAUUCUUCUUCUCAAAACCUUUAAAAAAAUAAACAGGAACUGUGGUGCUGCUCAAGUCAUUGUCAAACAAGUGAGACAAGCAUUAAAGAACUCUAAAACGCGUGGGAAAAUCACUGUAGCAGCUGUGAUUUUUUUUUUUUUUUUUUAUAGAAGGUAGUUUUUUUUUUUUUACAUGUUUUUUUUUUUUUUUUUCCUGUAGCAGUUUUUUAACUAUAGCUUAUUAUUAUUUUUUUUUUUUUGCUUUUGUUUCUUCUUUUUUUUGUUACAUGUUUUUUUUUUUUUUACCUAAAAUUGACUUCUUUGUCUUUGUUUUUUUUCUUUUUUUUAAUUUUUUUUUCAAAAUUAUCUUUACUAAUUUUUUUAAAUAUUAAGCUGGUUAAAAAUUUAACUAUAUAGUUUUUUUCUUUAAAACAUUGUGGAUUGCUAUAAUAUUCUCAUACAUUGGUUUUUUUUCUUUUUAUGAUUUCUUUAGAAGAGCUCGAGACAUAUAUGAAAUAUCAACAUCUAAUCUCUGGUAUUGGAUAAAGCUUUCAGUAUGUGGAGAACAAUCAAACGAGAAUUGACAGGGAAUUGAGUGAUCAUGUUAAAGUUACGGAGCAUGCGAAGAAGAGGCCCACUGAGGCCAGAAAGCGCAGCUGGAGAUAAAAAUGGUCAGGAAAGUAAAGGAGGGAAGAAAAAGCUCUCUCUGGUUCUUCCUCGAACAGUAAGUAGUCUUCUUUUUUUUUUUUACCAAAAUUCCUCUCCUCUGGACUGAUCAUCCACCUCUCAUCGGUUCCAUGCUGUUUUUUUUUUUUUUUUUUUCAUAAUUAUAUGUCCACUGUACUAAAUCACCUCGUUUGAUCCCACAGCUUCACCCCUCGACUUGAUUUCGAAUAUGGUGAAGAUGAGUCAAGGGAUCCUCCUCUAGCAUUGGAUGCUUUGCGAUGUUGAUUUCGAUGGCUUACACAUGCUGUCUGCUCAUAAUUUCUUAUAUUCGUUUCAACAAUAAGAUUACGCCGAGUAAUCUCCAUCCCUCGAAAUCAUAGUAUUGCCCGAGUCAAAAAGCAUGAUUGAUUACCGAGCAAUACUAUCUCGACCACUGCAAAACACACUCUUGAAUUCCUGAAAAGCAGCAUGUCCUCGUGUAGGGCAUUACUACAUGCAUGAAAGUAUUAAGAAACCGGGAUCUUUGAGUAGAUCUUUCAAGUGGGAUAGGACCCACUUAAAAAAAUAGCAAGGCAAAAUUGAGGCCCAUGUGUAAGCAUACAAGGACAUCCAUUAAAGCCCAUGAGUAGAUCUUUCACUAAUUUUUAUUUAUCAAUUUUCCCAUAAAUUAUCUUGAUUUUCCAGUUCCCGUUAAAAUUAUUUAAUGAAAAACGUUAAGUACUUGUAAAAUGAUGCUAUUUUUUUAAUAGAAAAAAAGUGCAAUUUAGAAUAUAUUUUUUAAUAAAAACAUAAUUGAAAAGCCUUAAAGAUGAAUGCAAGUCGUUAACAAAACAAGUAGUUUUUAAAGUUUAAGAGUAAAAUCAGUAUGCAAAAUUAUGUAAUGACAAAAUUAAGACUAUUGAGAGUGUUUCUGAGACUUCGGCUUUUCUUCUUUGAAGCUUCGACGUAAGUGCUUUGGAGGGUGAGAGAAAUGGAGGAGAGAAGGGUUGACUAGCUGUAAACCAAUUAUUGACCCAGAGGGGUUCCUUUUGAGGUCACCAAAUUUCCACGAAAGAGAUGAAAUCACCUAUAAGCCCAAGCUCAAAGGUUACAGAAUGUAAAAAAAGGCAAGCUAAUCGUUGUUCUCUUAUUGAGCAAAAAGCAAAGCAAACAUGGGCAGGAGGACAGCUUCUUGCUCUCUGUUUCUGUUUUUCACUCUUUUCACAACCUUGCAGAGUCCAAUUCUGGCUGCAAAAAAGGCAAGCUAGCAUGCAUUAAUGUUGUCUGAUCGUUUAGUCUUUCAAGUUACAUUUGCAAUCUCUCUUAUGUUAUAAUUCUGCUACUGACAGUGAUACCCGUGUCUGUGUACGUGCAGUCUUAUGUGGUUUACCUUGGGAGACAUUCUUAUGCUUCUGAACCUUCCACCACUGACCUGGAUAGGGUAGCCGAUGCCCAUCAUGAACUUUUGGGUUCUUGUAUGAAGAGGUGGUGAUGCAGUCCUGAAUAUUUCUGCUGUGUGAUCAGUGCUGUAUUUGGUUGUUCUAAUACUGAUGAUUAAGUUUGAACUCGUUAUGACAGCAAGGAGAAGGCGAAACAAGCCAUCUUUUACUCCUACACUCGCUAUAUCAACGGUUUUGCAGCAGUACUUGAAGAUGAAGAAGCAGCUGAGAUUUCAAGUAUAUAUAAUACUAUUAAAAUUGUUCAGCUUGUAUAUCGUGCAAUCCUUGGUACUAUUACAAUUAUGGUCUUGUUAAUACGUUUUCAGAGCAUCCAGAAGUUGUAUCAGUUUCUCGAAACCACAUAAGUCAAUUACACACAACAAAUUCUUGGGGCUUUCUUGGACUGGAAAGAAAUGGAGAAAUUCCAGCUGAUUCUAUGUGGCUAAAGGCAAGAUUUGGCGAAGACGUAAUUAUCGGGACCCUUGAUACUGGUAAUUAUAAUUUUACAUGUCUGUGUACAUGCGUAGAACUGGUCAAGUCUCCUUCAUAUCAUUUCAUCUUCUUAAUUUAAAUGUUUCUUGCAUUCAAUUAUUUUGGACCAGGUACAGCUACAUUGCAUCUGAAAGAAAAAUCUCCAAUGAUGGUAAAUUUUUGAUCUAUUUUUCUUGACUGUGCAUGACGCUAGGUGUUUGGCCGGAAUCCGAAAGCUUCAAUGAUGAAGGGAUGGGGCCUGUUCCAUCUAAAUGGAAGGGAUACUGUGAUCCAAAUGAUGGGAUUAAAUGCAACAGGUACUUUAAUUUCUUUCUCAAGGCCAGAGCACUUUUCUUGACCCGAACUACUCAUUUUGCCUCUGAUAAUGAACCGCAGACAAAUUCUUCUGUUUCCUAUAGUAAGAUCAGUAACAUAAAAGAUAUGUUGUUAUUAGCAGGAAACUUAUAGGAGCAAGGUACUUUAGCAAAGGCUACGAAGCAGAAACACAUGAUUCUUCAAACCACACCGCGCGAGAUUAUGAUGGCCAUGGAACCCACACUCUAUCCACUGCUGGAGGUCGUUUUGUUUCGGGGGCAACCUUCCUUGGUUCAGCUUAUGGAACAGCUAAGGGAGGUUCGCCCAACUCGCGAGUCGCUUCAUACAAGGUCUGCUGGCACGGCUGUAGCGAUGCUGAUGUGUUGGCUGGCUAUGAAGCUGCUAUUCAUGAUGGGGUCGAUAUCCUCUCCGUGUCACUUGGAUCCGAUCCGAGAGAAUACUUUACUCAUGGGAAUGCAAUUGGAGCAUUUCUUGCAAUGGAGAACGGGAUUGUUGUAGUUGCCGCCGCUGGAAAUGAUGGACCUGACCCUGGAGUCGUUGGGAAUGUAGCUCCCUGGAUUCUUACAGUUGCUUGUAGCACUAUCAGUAGGGAGUUCACAUCUAAUGUCAUCCUCGGAAAUAACAAACAAUACAAGGUUCGUUCUGUAAGCUCAUAUCUUUAGCAAGUCCUUGUAAAUUGUUCUACCUAUCAUGGGAUCCAAGAAUUUGCUAUAUUAAUUUCUAGAUAAUCAGGGUAUGAGUUUUAAUACCAACACUCAACCAGCUGGGAAGUUUUACCCCUUGAUCAAUUCGGUGGAUGCUAAAGCUGCCAAUGUUUCCAGUAAUCAAGCGUAAGCAGCAAACUAAUUUUGUUCUCGGCCAAAAUUAUAUUUUCUGUGCUUGUUAGGUUCAUAUUUCUUAUCUUGUUGUCUUUGGCAGAAAAUAUUGCUCCAUCAGAUCCCUUGACCCCUUGAAAGUUAAAGGGAAAAUUGUAUAUUGUACUCGCAACGAAGAUCCUGAUGUAGAAAAGAGUCUGGUUGUUUCUCAAGCUGGUGGUUUUGGGGUGAUACUUGCUAAUCAAUUGAUAAUUCAACAAAUCCGACCUCGAGCACACUUUGUUCCUACUUCCGUUGUCUCUGCAGACGAUGGACUUUCCAUUUUAACUUAUGUCUAUAGUACAAAGUAAGGUCUACGUUAAUAGAUAUUUCAGACAAUUAAACUUUGUUGAUUUCAGUCGAUAAUGCCCUGAACAAUCUAUCGUUUGCGAUCCUGUGAAUCUCUUGGAACUUCUCUUUUCACUCAGGUCACCUGUAGCUUACAUAAGUGGCGCCACGGAGGUGGGAACAGCGGCUGCACCUGUCAUGGCUGAUUUUUCAUCUCCCGGGCCUAACUUCAUCACCCCAGAGAUCCUUAAGGUACGUACUCUUAACAGUUUCAAAUGAGCGUUUUAAAAUAUUAUUUUUAUAGUGAGAGUGCAUGUGAUGAUUUCAGCCCGACAUCACUGCACCUGGAGUCAAUAUUCUAGCUGCCUUCACCGGAGCAUCAGGGCCAACUGAUGAGCCAGGAGACCGGCGCCGAGUACAUUUCAACUUUUUAUCUGGAACCUCAAUGGCAUGCCCCCAUGUUUCCGGAAUCGCAGGUCUUCUGAAGACUAUGCACCCUGAUUGGAGUCCUGCUGCAAUUAAAUCUGCAAUCAUGACAACGGGUUAGUGCUUUUCUGCUCUUCGCAUUAGCAUCUCCUAGUUAUUGAUGGACGAGUCAUUGAUAGCUUGAGUGGUUGCUUAUGACAUUUCAGCGACAACGAUCAGUAAUGUGAAGCAGCCUAUUGCAAAUGCUUCUCUUCUUGAGGCAAACCCAUUGAAUUAUGGUGCCGGGCACAUCUGGCCUAGCCGUGCAACGGACCCAGGCCUGGUCUAUGACCUAACGACUAAAGAUUACGUGAAUUUUCUAUGCUCCAUUGGCUAUAAUUCAACCCAGUUGUCACUUUUUAUUGGGAAGCCAUACAUAUGCCAGCAGCACAAUGGCCUGCUGGAUUUCAACUAUCCAUCCAUUACUGUCCCGAAUCUCUCAAGCAACAAGACCACGUUGUCCCGAACCUUGAAGAACGUGGGGACUCCAAGCUUGUAUAGAGUUAAUAUCAGGGCACCUGGAGGCAUAUCUGUGAAGGUUGAGCCAAGAAGCUUGAAGUUCGAUAAGAUAAACGAAGAGAAAAUGUUCAAGGUCACUCUAGAGGCCAAGAAAGGGUUUAAGAGUAAUGACUUCGUGUUUGGAGAGAUAACGUGGUCUGAUGGGAAACACCAUGUGAGGAGUCCUGUUGUGGUGAAGAAGAUGGAAGUAGCAGCGUAAGGUUGAAGGACAGUACUGACCUGGCGUCUGGAUUUGUAGGUGGAAGGCCAGCGUGUAGAGAUCUAUAUAUCUCCAUGGUCACCAAAUCGAUCUUCAAAUUCCCGUUCCAUGUCAUGACAAGUAUCGAAUGUCACCAAAUCGUGUCAUUUUUUUAUGCCACUAAUCUAGUGAUUGAACUAAAAAAAUAAAAAUAAAAAUAAAUGGGUUUGUUUUAGAAUGUUUUGGAAUGGUUCUUGGUUUUUAUCUACUUUCUAUUGAUUUUGUUUAGUUGCUUUAGUAUUUUUGUUUUUCUAUUUUUAUGUUAUUUAUGGCUCUGUUUUUUACCUUUUGUUGUGUGACAACUGAUUAGGUUACUGUAUAUUAAGGUUUUUUAGAGUGUAGGUAAUUCUUUGAAGCCUAGCUUACCAUCUUUCAUUUAUUAACAAAAUCUUAUGAUAAAGACAUUCAAUUGUCAUAUCCCUCAAUUGGAGAACAAAAGGAUAUACAUACAUUUUGUAGGUGUCAAAAAAAUAUGAAAGAUCUAUUAAUGUUAUUUAUUUACCUUAGUUUUUUUUAGGCUUAAUAAUUCUAUCUAGGAAAUUAUUUUCUAGUAUCUAAUUAAUCACAUAUUGCAGUGCGAUUAAGCUAAUGAUAAAUGAAUUCCCAAAAGAUUUAUCUACUUAUCGUGGUUUUUUUUUCUUUAGGCUUCAUAAUUGUACCUAAGAAAAUGACAUAUUACAUUACAAUUAAGUUAAUGAUGAAUGAAUUCCUACAAAGACCUUUUACCGAAGAAUGUGACCAUUUUAAGAGGUAGUAUAACAUCAUAAUUUUCUAAAAUAUCUUAGGUGUUGUUUUUGAACAAGUAUAUCCAAUUCAAACAUAAUAGUAAUAUUAUUUGGAAAAUUCUACUUUUAAUGUAUAAUAAGAAUAGUUGAUAAUAAAAAAAAUUAAACCUUCUAGUGAAUUUAAGAUGAUUUGAGAAAUAAGAACAAGAUCCUAAAUUAACAAGAUUCCAAGACCCGCUCCACAAUCACAACUAAAAAAUCCAAUUAAAAACACAUGAGGUUGUGGCCUAGUGGUUGAAGGGACUUGUUCCCUUCCUCCACACCAGGGUUCAAGCCUCACUUGUGUAUACCUGUCACCCCCGCGGUGUAUUACAUGCUCACUGGGCUUGCAGGAUAUUCAGUGAACCUGGAGAUUAGUUGUGGUGCGCUCAAGUUGGCCCGGACACCCCGUGUUACCAAAAGAAGAAGAAGAAGAAGAAGAAAAUAGAUAAUAUAUAACAAAAACAAGAGGAAAAGGUGAUAAAGAAAGGGAUUUGAGGGAGAGUAUUACCUGAAAUUAUAGGGAUUCAAGGAAGCUUCAAUCUUGAUUUAUGCAAAGUGGAUCUGUACGAGGUUUAUUUUUUGUUAAAGAAAGGGAAGUCUUUUUCGGAGCUAAGAAGAGGGAAACACUUUUCUUUUAGGAAAUACUUAUUUUUUUCUUUAGUUGAAAACUACCAUUCUAGAGUUUACCGAACAUGAAAAAGUUUUGGAAAAUAACUUAUUGAAAAGUUAUUUCCAUAAAACAAACAAGGCCUUAAUGUUAAGAUAUACCAGUGUCCCAUAGGACAUCUUAGUAAACUAAAUGUAAAAAUUGUUAAAAAAUAAAAAAAGUUCUAGGUAAAGAGCUGGUUAUAUGAUAGAGAAGAUAACAAUCACCCUAUACAUUCUAUCUAAAGUAAGUUGCUUCAUAUUUAUUUUUAAUGAUAAAGGUGUAUAAUAUGUUUACGCGCUAAGAGUUUGUCUAAAUUGGCAUAUGCUCAUUUGUUAUUAAGGAUAAAUACUAUUAUGACUUAAGAUAGUGAUUUAAGACUUGGACUUGGUAACAAGGAACACUUUUCACUUUGAAAAAACGAGCAUUAGACCCGCAGGGAAGGUGAGAAAUUGAUAAGUAUAAACCUGUUCAAGAUUCUGUUGAUUGAAAUGGGUCCAAAAACUAUCCCUCACACUCAAUAGGCCUAUAUGUGAUCAUAUCGAUCCAACCCAAAUUCGCUCGUCGCAUCAAAAAAAGGUAUUCCAAAAAAAAAUCAAUAUGAAAAUAAAUUCGUACACAUCUACAUGAACAUAUAAAAUUCAAAUAAUAGGAUAUUUAUAAAUAAUAUUAACGAGUUAAACUUAAAGUCAAGGUUUUACAAAUAUAGUCGAGACCGAAGCCUCUGACCUAGGUUAUGGCGGAAUUCUUAAACAAGUUCAAGAUGACAAAGAGCAGAUCCUCGAAUGCACAUCCGCCCACUAGAAUGAUUGCCAGAAAAGUACUCUACUAUAUAUAUAUAUAUAAAGAGAUCCUUUCAAUUGUUUUCUAUAUUAAAAAAUUUCAAAGUGAUUUACUAAAUCAAAAAUUUCUUUUAUGUGUUGAUUGCAAAUCCGCAAAAGAAGUUCUAUAAAAAGAUGUCCAAAAUCUUGCUUCAAAAUAGAUUUUUGCCAGAUGGCAAGCUAUUUUAAGCAUUUUUUAUUUCAAUAUUGUCUACAUUAAAGGAGAUUCAAAUUUCAUUCCUGAUUUCUUAACCUGAGAAUUCCUUCAAAAUAGGUCUUGAUGCCUCUGAAAGCAAAGGCCAAAGACAAGAGAAAAGCCCCUCAAACCCAACCUACAAAACCAGAGAGCCCCAAACCCUCUAUAAAACAAUGUCUUCAGCUAUCUUAGCUGCCAAACCAAUCAAAUCCUCGUAUGAGGCAGUUAUUAAAGAAGAAGAAACUACAAAAACCCCAACAGGUACAAACAGACGCAGUUCAACAUUGGGUUGACACUAUAUCCAAAUCACCAUAAUUACUCCUGGCAUUACAAAAAGUGUCUCAACAGACCUCCGGUGACUCCGUAUCUCAAACAGGUAGUAUUUUUCAAACCACUUUCAAAACCAUAAGGAGGUAUUUCUACUUCAAAACCCCUCAUUUCUUUACAACAAACUAGUUUUCUAAAAACCAAAUCCAAAUAUAUUUUCAAAACUACUUUCCAAAAUAUUUUAACUAUGGAGGAAGGAUUUUAUCAUGAAAACCCUUUCAUUGCUUCUUCCAAAAUUUUCCCUUCAAAUUGGUACUACAAACCCUGGAAUUUAGCCAAACCACAAUCCUAUUAUGCCGUAAUCCUUGAGAUUACUAAUUCUAUCAAGUUCAAACACUUCAAACUUCAUUCUGAUCACACUGAACCGGCAUAUUCUACAUGUAUCAUUCACAAAGUCAUUCACCCUAAAGACUUGGGUCAACCCUUACAUCAACAUCUUUCCUUCCCCAUACACUUCUGUACAAACCCCUAGGACUUCAAUACUUCCUAUACAUAUUGGGAUUACCAACAGGCAUGGUUCAAUGCCUUCCUCCUAUAAAAUCCAAACCAUAGUCAUUCUUGGCUUUUCUACUUCCAUAAUGACAUGAAUACUACAAACCUCCCCCUCUGGUUCCUCCAAUGGUGGGACUAUUAUGGUUGUCAUGUUGACUACCUCAAAGGCCAUCCUCUGGUUGAAAACGGCUACCUCCAUUUCAAAAAUAAUUUUUAACCAGCUUCUUCUGAAAGGAAGUUCUCUUCCUUGCUCAUUUUCUGUACAAAUUUUUUUAUGUCAUGGGUAUGUUUGUGGUUCUAUGAUUAUAAUUGUCGCACGUAAAUGCGGCGUCACGGCGAAAAACUAAGUUUUCCAUUUUUAAAACCACAAUGUAAUAUAUAUAUGGGGAUACGAGAAAAUAUUAUUUUUUUUUUGGUAAAAAUGGAAUGGGAGUCGCCACCUAGUAUUUUGGUCACUAGGAACCCUAACUGGUCUCAGAGAUCGGGUACGGGGACUGGUUGCGUAAAGGGAAGGUAUUAGCACCCCAAGUACGCCUUACCUAAGGUAAGCUGCAUUGUUCUAUUGUCUGAUAAAAGCUAUGGUGUUUUUUUUUUUUUCUAGUCGUUGGUCUGUCUAUGGUUCAAGAAAAAUCCUCCUCAGUAAGAAGGUCUUUUAUCUUAUCGGGUAAAAACUUAACCGUUCUAACGUCUACCAAAAAGAUAAUAUUUAGGAAUACGUUUUACGUAUAAAUUCGUAAUCCCAAAUACUAAAAGAAAACAAAAAGAUUUUUUAGAAUUUUUGAAAUCUUGGCCUAGUUCUCAUGGCUUAAAUAAACUGGUUAUUCAAGCCAAAAUGCAUGCUAAUACGUACAUUGUUUUGAAAAUUUUCUUUGUUGUGUAAAAAAAAUGAUGUUAUAAUAUUUAUAUCUAUAUAUAUUGGAGAGACUAAGCCGUAUUUUAAAGACAAAAACAAUUUUUGAAAAUAUUAUUAUUAUUAAUUCUUUUUUUUUUUGCUUUUUUUUGACGUAAAUCGGGUAUUUAAAUACUGAGCUUGUAUCCUUACGGUAUAAAAAUACAACCCAAUAUUAUUCCACCUUAAUAAAAAAUGCAGAAAAAUCAACAACAUUUUUAGGUAUUUUUUUAGAAAUUUUUUUGAAAGCAAAAACAUUUUUUAUUCGAAAAAUCUUUGAUAUUUUUACGAAAACCGGGUAUUUUUAACACUGGUUUGAUAUCUUUACAGUAUAAAAAUACCAACCAACAUUAACCCAUUUUGACAAAAAUAUUCAGGGAAAUCAACAAUAUUUUUUAAGAUUUUUCGAAAUAUUUUUUUUUUAGUAAAAAAAAAUAUACACAAUAUACACACAUAUAUAUUACAAUAUACUAUAAUUAAUAAUAUAUUUAUAAUAAAAAUUCGGGUUGGGCCGGACCAAAUGAAUGGGCCGAACCCAACCCAGCCGGAAUCGGGCCCAACAUCAGCCCGAAACAGGAGUGGGCCGAUCGCAGCCCAGCAAAAGGCUGGGCCGAUCUCGGCCCGCAAGGAGGUUGGGCCGAUCUCGGCCCAACGAAAGGCUGGGCCGAUCUCGGCCCGCAAGGAGGUUGGGCCGAUCUCGGCCCAACGAAAGGCUGGGCCGAUCUCGGCCCGCAAGGAGGUUGGGCCGAUCUCGGCCCAACGAAAGGCUGGGCCGAUCUCGGCCCGCAAGGAGGUUGGGCCGAUCUCGGCCCAACGAAAGGCUGGGCCGAUCUCGGCCCGCAAGGAGGUUGGGCCGAUCUCGGCCCAACGAAAGGCUGGGCCGAUCUCGGCCCGCAAGGAGGUUGGGCCGAUCUCGGCCCAACGAAAGGCGGGGCCGAUCUCGGCCCGCAAGGAGGUUGGGCCGAUCUCGGCCCAACGAAAGGCUGGGCCGAUCUCGGCCCGCAAGGAAGUUGGGCCGAUCUCGGCCCAACACAAGGCUGGGCCGAUCUCGGCCCGCAAGGAAGUUGGGCCGAUCUCGGCCCAACACAAAAAACAUCUUUAGCCUGGGCCAGACUCGGUCUGGCCCAAAAUGAAUAACAACAAAACUGGGCCGGAAACCCGGCCCAGUGUUAAAAAAAACUCAGCGGGGAAGGGAAAACAGUUCCCUUCCCCUACCUCCUGCAUGCAGAACGAUUCUGCAUGCAGGAGGACAAACAGAAAAAAAAAAGUGCAGGGGGUGGAGGAAAUACCUGGCACGGCGGAGGAAAUACCCGUGUUGAUGGUGCUGCAGCAAAGUUGGUGGCUCCCAAGCGACGGUGCUUAACAGUCGGGUGUCCUCUCGGGUCGUGUCCGGUUAACGUUUUCUCUAACUCUCCCCACGGCUUCAGUCUUCUUCCCCUCCUCCCCGUGCUGUUUCUUCGAGUUUUAGGUGUUUAGUUCUACUGUUUAAGUCGUCUCUCUCUCCUCCAGUUUCUCUCUCUCUCUUGGUCUUGGUCUCCCCCUUUUUUCUCCUCUUUUCUCCCCCGUGCUUCACAUCUUUCCCCUUCUUUUAUAGGCGGGCAAAGGAGCGGGGCUGCAUAGGCAGCGUGGGGAGCAGAACAAGGUGGGUCGAGCUGGGCAACGUGGGGGGCAGCGCCGGUCGGCUGGUCGGUGAGCGUGGUUGAUCACGGCGUGGCCCUCCUGGCUUCGCGUCGUCCGAGGUGCAUGGGCCUGGUCUGUCAGUGCACGCGAGGAGAGAGGGGCACCGGUUGAUUAAACAACGGUUUCGUCCAUGCUGCUGCACGUUCGGGGAGGAAGAAGAAAGGAGAACAGUGCCGUUCAAAACGGCACCGUUUGGUCCCCUUUUUUUUUUUUUUUUUUUUUUUUUAAAAUAUAUGAAACGGCGUCGUUUUGGGGAAAACGCGCCGUUUCAUUUAAAAAAAGGCGCCAGAAUACGCAAAAUUUCAACUCAGCCCUCAAUUAUCUUUUGAUUCCUUCAAUUGCGUCCCUGCCAAUUUCGGUCCUCGCCCCCAUAGUUGGCCGCGUUUUUCAUCUUGGUCCUUGGCCUCUGAUUUAUGCAAUUAAGCCCUCAAUUGACCAAUAAACUUCCAAUUUCUUCAAUUACGCCCCUGGAUCAAAUCAAGACAGCCCCCUCUAUUUACCCGCGUGUUCCAAAUUGGUCCCUGGUUUCGGAUUUUCACAAUUAAGCCCCUAAUUGGCCAUUAAACUUCAAUAUUUAUGCAAUUAAGCCCCUGAUUUGGCCUAAUAAAUUCCAAAAAAAUAUAUUUUGGCCCCAGAACUUAAAUUUCUCCCAAUUAAAACCCAAAUUGACCUAAAAAUAAAUUUUUCUUGCACUCCAAUCCUCUAUAAAUUCAAAUAAAAUCCAAUUAAGUCCCUAAACAUCCAAAUUUGGGCUUUUCUCCUCAAAAAUUCAAAUUUUCCUUCUCAACAGGGCUCUCAUCCUUCAAGAAAAUAUUGCCAAAAAUCCAAUCUCUGUAUUUUUAACCUCCGUGACCAAUCUUUCGACCAUUUUCUGAGCGCUUAUGCCUCCUGUUAUUUUUUCUAACCUUCUUCGGCUAUUUAUUUAUUAUUAUUUUUUUGUGGGGAUCCAAAAAUGGGUUACAACAGAUGCCCCCUCUUUAUAAUGCUUACGGAGCAAAGGCGUAGUAAGUUUUAUAAAGAUAACCCAGUCUGAACUCCUGAAACUGAUUUGGUCGAAGCUUAAUCGAUCUGAAAUUCUUUCUUUACAGCAAUCCUCUUCGGCCUCAAAUAUUGGGAUCCCAUCUGGCGAUUCCCUGAACAUAGAAAAUAUGAGGUCCCCUCUGGCGACCUCUUUUGACAAUUAUCGAAAUACGAGAUCCCUUCUGGCGAUCUCCUUUAAUCAACUUGGAACCCCAUCUGGCGAUUCCUAUAUGAAAUAUGAGAUAUGAGGUCCCAUCUGGCGGCCUGCAAGUAGUGAAACACGAGAUCCCUUCUGGCGAUCAACCUGGAAUCCCAUCUGGCGAUUCCUUUUUAACCAAAAUGAAAUAUGAGGUCCCGUCUGGCGACCUUCGAAUAGUGAAACACGAGAUCCCUUCUGGCGAUCUCCUUUAAUCAACUUGGAAACCCAUCUGGCGAUUCCUUUUUAACCAAGAUGAAAUACGAGGUCCCAUCUGGCGACCUCCGAAUAGUGAAACACGAGAUCCCUUCUGGCGAUCUCCUUUAAUCAACUUGGAAUCCCAUCUGGCGAUUCCUUUUUAACCAAAAUGAAAUACGAGGUCCCAUCUGGCGACCUCCGAAUAGUGAAACACGAGAUCCCUUCUGGCGAUCUCCUUUAAUUAACUUGGAAUCCCAUCUGCGAUUCCCCUUUUUCCAAAAUGUUAUCGACGUCGCUCUUCCUGCUGGCGGGUUUUGACAAUUACUUUCUCUUCUUGUUGUUCUAACGGUUCAUUAUUCGUCCCCAUUCUUGUUGGAAUGCACUAAGAUCUCCUCCUGUAACGAUAGAGAAAAGAACAUACAUGCAAUGAUUUAUGAUUAGAUAUAAUGCAUGCAUCCGUACCUGGUUUUUUUGAAACAUAGGCCCCAUCAUCUUCUUCUAGUUCCUGAAGCUCUUUCUUAAUACGAGCUUGCUUUUGAAGUCAUAUGCUGGAUUCAUCUCUCGCGUUGCCUCUUUUUACUGAUCAUAUUCUUGGAGAAUAAUUCUUUGAUUUUCUUCAAGUAGACAUUUUCUCAAAAUGUAUGACUUGUUAUUGCCUUUUUGUCAUGCUUUUGUCAAAUGCUUUAGCUUGGUUUUCAAAUUUGUUGGCUUCCGUAAUACUUUUAUAAAAACAUCUUGUAUUGCCUCCCAACGUAGGGGUGUGAUCCUAGUUUGGGCUUUUAUAUAGAGAAGAAAUGCGUUCAGCCGAUGCUAAAAAUUUUAAUAAGUGAUGAGAAUAACACCAAGACAUGCACUGUUUGGAUUAAUGCGAAAAUGAAUGUUGUGAGAUCAAUGCAAGAAGAAAGAAAUCAAUGGCCAAACUUUGCUUUAUUGAUUUAAGGGUUUACAUCAAGCAUAAUAUCUUUUCACAGAGUCAGAAUUCACAGGCCUAGCUAAGUCUUCUCCAUCCAUUCUAGCUAACUUCAAUGCUCCUCCUGAGAAUGCCCUUGUUACUACAUAAGGACCCUCGUAAUUUGGUGCCCAUUUGCUUUGAUCAUCUCCGGGUAGUGACAAUAUUUUCUUUAAUACUAAAUCCCCUUCUUGAAACAUCCGUGGCCUAACCUUCUUAUCAUAUGCUUUAGCCAUUCGUUUCUGGUAAAGCUGGUGGUGACAUAUUGCGGCCAUCCUCUUUCACUGAUCAGGUUCAGUUGCUCGUGUCUUACUUUGGCCCACUCGGCCUCUUCUAACUCUGAAUCUAUUAACACUCUUAACGACGGGAUUUCCACUUCCAAGGGCAUCACUGCCUCCAUACCGUAUACUAGAGAAUAUGGGGUAGACCCUGUCGAGGUUCGGACUGCGGUGCGAUAUGCAUGAAGGGCAAAUGGCAACAUCUCAUGCCAAUCCCUGUAGUUGACUACCAUCUUCUGAAUAAUCUUUUUGACAUUCUUGUUAGCAGCUUCUACCGCCCCAUUCAUCUUUGGUCUAUAUGGCGAAGAAUUGGAAUGCUUGAUUUUCCACUUAGUGCAGAGCUCUAUUAUCAUCUUGCCGUUGAAAUUUUGGGCAUUGUCAGUUAUAAUCUUUUCUGGUGGACCAUACCGACAUAUCAAAUCUCUCUCAAUAAACUUCUUCACCACUUUUUGCGUCACAUGAGCAAAUGACCCGGCUUCUACCCAUUUUGUGAAGUAGUCAAUAGCCACGAGGAUAAAUCUAUGACCAUUGCUCGCUUUUGGGUUUACAGGUCCAAUUACAUCAAUUCCCCACAUCGCGAAGGGCCAUGGAGAUGUUAGGUUAAACAGAGGAGCUGGUGGCAUAUUGACCUUGUCACUGUAAAUUUGACAUUUGUGACAUUUUCUGACAUAGUCUAUACAAUCUUUUUCUAGUGUCAUCCAAAAAUAACCAGCCCUUUGGAUUUUCCUUGCCAUCAUAUGUCCGCUAGCAUGGGUUGAGCAAAUCCCCUCAUGGACCUCUUUUAAUGCCCUUCUAGCAUCUGCCUCAUCCAAACACCUUAACAAGGUUCCAUCAAAUGACCUUUUAUAUAAAAUCUCUCCAUCUAAAUAGAAGUCUAUAGCCAACCUUCUCAAGGUUUUCUUAUCCGUCUUAGAAGCUCCCACCGGAUAUUCCUGAUUCUGCACCAGAUUCUUGAUAUCGUAAUACCAAGGUUGUCCGUCUAUCUCUCCCUCAACUAAACAACAGUGAGCUGGAUCAUUUCUAAUAUCAAUGUGUACCGGUUGUACCUUGCACUUGAGAUCAAUGGUAGUCAUAGCAGCUAAUGUGGCCAAAGCAUCCGCAAAAUGGUUCCCCUCCCUUCCCAGAUGGGUGAAUCUAAUUUCUUCAAAUUCCUUUGCUAGCAUGGAUAGGUAUUCCUGGUAAGGCCUCAACUUUUCUUCUUUGGUUUGCCAUUCCCCUUUUACCUGGCAAAUGAUCAACAUUGAGUCCCCAUAUACAUCUAUCUUCUUUAUUUUCAGCUCCAAUGCUGCUUCUAAACCGAGGAUACAAGCUUCAUACUCAGCUGUAUUGUUGGUGCACUCGAAGUGUAGUUUGACCGAAACGGGGUAUUGUUUCUUAUCAGGAGAGAUUAUUACCGCCCCUGCCCCGUUACCAUAUACAUUUACUGCCCCAUCAAAAAACAUGGUCCACCAAUCUGUCUUUUCUUCUUCCUUUUCUAUUGACAAUAUAUCUUCAUCAGGGAAAUCAAAAUCCAAAGGUUCGUAAUCUUCAAUAGCAUUAUCGGCCAGAUGGUCUGCGAUUGCACUCCCUUUUACGGCUUUCCUUGUCAUAUACACUAUGUCAUAUUCUGCUAACAAAACUUGCCACCUUGCAAUCCUACUUGAGAGAAAAGGCUUAUUACAAAUAUACCUCAGAGGAUCCACUUUUGAAAUCAACCAAGUGGUAUAGUAUAACAUGUAAUGUCUCAACCUCUUUGCCGCCCACACCAACGCACAACAGAGCCUUUCUAUCUCCGUGUAUCUGGACUCACAUUCAGUGAAUUUCUUACUCAAGUAAUAAAUAGCUCUUUCCUUCCUUCCGGUUUCAUCAUGCUGACCCAAUACACAACCCAUGGCUACUUCAGUAACGGUUAGAUAUAAUACUAGAGGUUUUCCUGAUACAGGAGGAACCAGUAAAGGUGGAUUUUGUAAAUAAUGCUUGAUUUUAUUGAAUGCCUCCUCACACUCCUCAUUCCAGGUUCCGGGAUUCUUUUUCCUUAGUAGCCGGAAUAUAGGCUCGCAUGUUGUUGUUAGCUGAGCUAUAAACCGAGCAAUGUAAUUCAACCUUCCCAAGAAUCCUCUUACUUCUUUCUCCGUCUUAGGGGACGACAUGGCCUGGAUGGCCCUUACUUUAUCCGGAUCCACCUCUAUACCUCUAUCACUUACCACAAAUCCCAACAGCUUGCCCGAUUUAACUCCGAAUGAACAUUUUGCAGGAUUAAGCCUUAGUUCAUACUUUCUCAACCUCUCAAAUAACUUCCUCAAAACUUCCACAUGAUCUUGUUCCUUUUUAGACUUGGCAAUCAUAUCAUCUACAUAUACCUCAAUUUCUUUGUGCAUCAUGUCGUGGAAUAGAGUCACCAUUGCUCUUUGAUAUGUUGCACCCGCGUUCUUUAACCCAAAUGGCAUGACCUUGUAGCAGUAGGUCCCCCAAGGUGUGACAAAAGUUGUUUUCGCCUUAUCCUCUAAAGCCAUUUUUAUUUGGUUGUAUCCUGAAAAACCGUCCAUAAAGGAAUAAGUGGAACUUCGGGCAGCAUUAUCCACUAAAACAUCUAUGUGGGGUAGAGGAAAAUCAUCCUUAGGGCUGGCCUUAUUCAAAUUCCGAAAAUCCACACAAACUCGAAUCUUCCCUUCCUUCUUAGGCACCACAACAAUGUUAGAUACCCAUUGUGGGGUAUCUAACUACUUCUAGAAAACCAGCAUCCCACUGCUUUUCGAGUUCUGCCUUGACCUUGAUCCAGACGUCUGGGUGGGCCCUCCUUAGCUUCUGCUUGACUGGCUUAUAACCUUCCUCCAACGGUAUCUUGUGUUCUACAAUACUUGUAUCCAAACCGGGCAUAUCUUCAUAGGACCAAGCAAAGACAUCUGAAUACUCUUGUAAUAGGGUGAUCAUUUUUAUCCUUUGUUCAGAAGUAAUUAGGGUACCUAUUUUCAACUCUUUCUUGAGCUGACCAUUGCCCACAUUGAUGGUUUCGAGUUCCUCGGUGGCAGGCUUCCAAGUCUGUUCCUGUUGUUCUACUAGCCUGGUGAAUUCACUGAUGUUGCUUUCAUCCCACUCUUCUUCUUCCAUAGCUAUUACAUGCUCGUUCCAGUUUGGCCAUUUAUUCUUGAUGUUAAAUGUAUGCGAUGUUGUUGGAGAUCCGCUUUCAGGAUUCCUGAAAGCGGGAAGUGCUUGGUGUAAAUGCAUAUAUAAAAAACAAUUUCUGAAAAAGUGCAUGAUCUCACAUUCAUUCAAAGGAAAAAGGUGGGCUCUAUGACAAAUAUAGAAUCUAGCUGACAUCAUGAGCCUUGAUUGUCAACUAGAGAAAACAAAAGCAAACAUAAGCAAUGACAAAAACAUGCUAAGGCAAACAAAGUUGGUUUACAUUUUGAAAACCACUGGAGCUUCUUGGGUCACCCAAUUCUGAAACUUUUCGCCUGGAGCCAACUUGCGCACAACGGUCUUGGCGGAGACUUCUUCUAGUGUAUGGAUCGUCAGCUGUGGUAGCACUUCAUCUUCUUUUCCCGCUACUGCUUUCACGUCAUCCCCUUUCUUCUCGUUUCCCUCCAAGGUGUUUAUGCUCAUAUGAGCCAGUUCUAUACCCAGGCUUUCAGCUCCCUUAUCAUGUUGCACUACGUAUGCAGCUCUUGGGAAUGAUAUGCUAAGGGGAGGGAUUUCUAAUUGUUCUUCUUCAAGAUCUCUUCCUUUGAUUCUAGCCAUCCUUCUUGCCCUUCUCCGAUUAGCAGCCCAACGAUAAUCCUCUUGGUUAGGUUGAUAUCCUAACCCAAAUCUUUGAUCAGCCUUUCUCUUUCUUGUCGGAUUAGCCCCUUCUGGUAUUCCGCAAGCGAGGUUAUAUUGACGUGGGACCCCACGGUUCAAGAAGCAUAGACUUGCCAUCCUUGUUGCUUCUGAAAUCCUUGGCCUUCUUAGCACGGUGUUCUCCGGCACCCAGUCGGUGUUCACGAUCUCAAAAGCAUGGAUAUUGCCAUCCUUGCAAUCCUCCGCUUCGAUGAAAGGCACAGCCACAUUCUUUAUCAUGGAUAUUGCCUCCUCAGCCUUGACAGUUACCAACAUCCCAUUCAUGAUGUACUUCAGGCAUUGGUGCAAUGACGAAGUUACUGCCCCCGCCGCGUGAAUCCAAGGUCUUCCCAACAACAUGCUAUAGGAAGGGUGGAUAUCCAUAACCUGAAGUGUCACUAGGAACAUUUGCGGUCCCACAUAUAGCUCCACUUCUAAAGUCCCAAGUAUUGGCCUAGGUGAGCCAUCAUAUGCUCUGGCCAUCAUAGUACUUGGCUUCAUAUGCGAUUCAUCAAUCGGCAUUUCCUCUAGAAUGUGCUUUGGCAGUACGUUGAGGGCCGAGCCAUUAUCGACGAGCACCUUCCCUACAAGACAGUCUUUGCACCUAACAGUAAUGUAUAAAGGCUUGUUGUGUCCGGUACCUUCGGCAUCAAGCUCAUCAGCCGUGAAGUAGAGGUAAUUAGUUGCAUGGAUCCUCCCUACUAAAUGCUCCAUGGUUUUAUGCUCAAUGUCUUGAGGUACAUAUGCCUCAUUCAAUACCUUUUGCAAGGCAUUUCGAUGCGGCUCAGAGCUGAGUAUCAAGGACAUAAGGGAGAUUCGCGCUGGAGUCUUUUUUAGUUGAUCCACUAUGCAAUAUUCGCUAUGCUUGAUCAACUUCAAAAACUCAUUCGACUCCUCUUCCGUUACUGGUUUAUUAACUUCGGGAGCUUUGUCCAGAUCUACCACCUCCUUACCCUUUUCCUUCCUCCAUUCUUCAGGCGUAAAGCAACGACCACUCCUGGUCAAACCACUUAUCUCCGUCUGGAACAAAGGAAGAGGCGCUCGAAUGUCGGAGGCAUACCCAUAAUUAUACGGCAUGGCAUUGUGAUUCUCUUUUGUGCAGGACGGUUUAAUCAAGAUCAGCCUUGGGGGCCCAUUAGCAGUCUGUUGGAUCCGGCAAACUCCUGCCAUCUCAUCUUGGCCUUCCAUCAUGCUCACUUCGUACCUGCUCUCCAUGGGUUCAAUCCUCAAUUGUCCCAUCUUCAACAUUUUUGCGAUCUUUUCGCAAAACUUUGCGCAAUCCUCAAUGUGAUGUCCAUCUCUUCCGUGGAACUCACAGUAGUCACCUCUCCCCGAUUGCCUUACCGCCUUUGCCUUUAGAAAUCCUGAUUGUACUAACAUGUCGUACAACCUUUUCAUCGGCACCUUCAACACCUUGCCUUGAUUUCCCACUUCGAUCAUGCCUAUUCCACCACUAUUUGGAGCAUGCUUAGGCAAUGGGUUUGAAUUAACAUUGGGCUUGUCUUCAAAGGAUACCCAUCCCGCCCUAAUAAGCUCUAAUAACCUCUUUUUGAAGGCAUAGCAAGUUUCAAUCCCAUGCCCGGGAUUACCCCCAUGGUACUCGCAAGACAACUCAGGCUUGUACCAAAUUGGGAAUGGUGGUUGUAAUGGUAGUGUAGGGAUAGGAGCUACUUGUCCAAUGCUCAACAGCUUGGCAUACAUGUCCUUCAAUGGCAUGGGUAAAGGCGGCAGUUGUUCUGAAGUGUAUCUUGGGUGUGGUCUUUGGUAGUGAUCUUGGUAGUGAUUUUGGUAGUUUGGCUGGUUAUUUGUUCGGUUAGGUGAAAAAGAUUGGUUAAAGUUUAUGCGUGAGACUUGAGCGGUAGGUGCUUGUGGACUACGGAAAUUUACUUUCUUGCCUUUGUACCCGUCCUCCAAAUUGUUGACGUCCCCUUCUCUUUUCCUUCCAACAAAACCUUUCUUCUCUAAAGGCUCCGCUAUGCGCCCAGCUUUAAUUCCUUGCUCUAUUCUUUCGGCCACGCGUACAACAUCAUAGAAAUGUUGAGAUGAGCUACCCAUUAAAUGCUCAUAGUAAGGUGCCUUGAAUGUAUUGGCGAACAAAGUCACCAUCUCUGUUUCUAUUAAAGGGGGUUGCACAUGCGUGGCCUCGUCUCUCCAUCUUUGCGCAUAAGCCCUCACUGACUCUUGGCUUCUCUUUUCGAGUGACAUGAGGCUCGUUCGAUCUGGAGCGAUUUCUAAAUUGAACUUGUAUUGCUUUAGGAAAGCCUCCACUAAGUCCUUCCAUUUCUUAAUCUUGACAUUAUCCAGCCUCAUGUACCAACUUAACGCAGAUCCUUGCUAGACUGUCUUGGAAAAAGUAGAUCAUUAACUUAUCGUCAUGAAUCACCUCAGCCAUCUUAUUGCAAUAAGAUCGAAGGUGAGUGUUUGGGCAUUCCAACCCAGUGUACCUUAUAAACUCCGGUAUCCUAAAAUCUUUUGGCACCGUGAGGUUUGGUACCAAGCAUAUUUCCGACGCUCGCAUGGGGUCAAACCAAUCAUUUCCCUCGACUGCUCUUAACCUUUCUUCUAAUGCUGAUAUUUUGUCCUCGUUCACAGAACCAGUGGACCUAUUAUCGGAAGGCCCCUCAGCUGUUAAAUCUACAGUGAUGCGAGCUUGAGGGGGCUGAAUGGGAAUAGCCGGUGCAAAGUGCUGCCCCGUCGCUGAAUCUGCCCCCAAGUUCUGAGAUAACCCCAGGACAGGAACUGGCGGUGCUCCUAUAGGUGGUUGGGUAGACGUUCCCUCUCCGUUCUUGGUUCUUAACAGUUGCUCAAGCAGACUGGUCAGUCGAGAAACUUCAUUUUUCACUAAUUCCAACUCGGUCUGGUAGUGCGACUCUAAUUGAGCUCUUUCCUCGUUUUCCAUUCUUGAUCUUGACCGGGUUUGGUGGACUCUGGAUAUGGGACCUAUGUUUCACGAUCUGGCAUGCAUAUGAUGAAUUAAAAACAAAAUGUGUGAUGAGAAUGCGAUGCAUAUGUAAUGUGUAUAUAUAUAUAAUAUAUUAUGAGCUGAUUCAUGACUUUCGUAACCUUUAACAAGAUUUCUGAGUUGACCGGAUUACCAUAAAGGAGGGUUUGCCAAGUUCUUAUCAUAGUGGCUUACUCAACACAUUAAGAAAGGAAAUACGUCAUGGACUUCUUAUAAAUAACAUAAUUGCUCAUACAAAACAAUAAUGGAAAAGAGAAGUCCUAUACAUUGCUACUUCUAAAAGGCAUUUCCCCUAUUAGCUAAAUCCCUAAUAAAACAGACCAUGGCCCCCAUGUAUUCUCGAUACUUUGAACCGUCAUUUCCAACUUCGGUGGCUUGCUGUUGCAACCUUUCUGCACAAUGGGCUACGUGCUCCACCUGUUUUGACAUAUGUCUUAUCUUAUCAUGGAAUACAGCGUUAUCUCCGAUUAUUGCUUCGUUGCUGGCUCCUAAUGCUUCAUUGCUUCUUUCCAAUACUCGCACCAUACCCUCUGAUUGUGCCAACUUAUCUCUUGUCCUCUGUAGUUCCUCCUUUUCGAUGUCCAGCUCUGCUAUUUUGGAAUUGAGUUGAACUGUGAAGCUGUCCAUGUAGUCUUGGCAUUCUUGACGCUCUUGCUUAACCUUGCUCAUCUCUUCUUCCAUCUCGAAGUAGUGGCUUCUCAACUCCCUAAACUCUUCUUCUCGUACUUCGAUCUCCGAUUGUAACGCCCUCAUCCUUCCUUUUGAAGACUCAGCUCUCUUCUGGUAAUCUCUCAUGUCAGACUCAGCGGCCCUUCUCGCAUUUCUUUCUUCCUCUAAUUGCACCAUGUAUUGAGCUCUAACCUUCCUUUCUUCUUCUAUGUCUAGGUUGGCUAGACGAUUCUUCUCCUUUUCAUCUUCUAUUUUCUUUAAAAGAAGUUUCCUUCCCUUCUUCAAAGAAUCCAUCAUCUCCUUAUCCACAUUCACGCCUUUUGUUGACCUCUUAACCUUAGCCAAUUCUUCUUCCGCUACCCCAUUCUUCUUGACCAACUCGUCAUAAUCAGCUAUUCGAUUCCUUAACUCAACCUGGACCCCCGUUGUUACCUCUUCAGCUACCUCGGCCCUUUUCUGCCAUUCCUUUAGAGACAUUAGUUGUUUCUCUUGUUUUUCUAACCGCUGAUUCAAGAAAACCCUCAUCGUAUUUUCCUCCUCGAGCUGGUUCUCUAGCAGUUGUUGUCGCCCCUUGCUUUUGCUGAGUUCUAUUAUACAUUGAUCUAAUUGUUUUUCUUAGAUCUUCUUCGUCAUCCUUUCUUUUCCUUUUCUGUGGUUCUAUCGCUGCCUCUGGCUGUUCUUGUGUAGAGAGACCCUUCGCUGCAGAAAAAUCUUCAUUCCUCCAAACUGUAUAAUUAUGGCUGAAUGAGGUUUCAAAACUACUUCCUUCUUCUCUUUUUACCUUCACGGGCCUUUCCCAAUCCUGUCGGAUAAGCGCCAUUUCUUCUAUGAACGGUUGGUGCUUGAAUAACCCAAUAAAAUCAGCUAAACCCAAGGUUCUUGGCGUAUAUUGCAUUCCGCCCAACUGCCUUGUUACGAGGGCGGGCGCAUAGCUGAUGUAACCAGUUACACCAAUUAGAGGAACCCAUAUCUUGCUUCCGCAGCUCAUUGUGCAAAUAGCGUUGUUCAUCCACGGCGCUUUCCAUUUGAAGUUGCUACUUGGCAAUGCUGCAUACUUAUCCCUCCAUGCUUUCUCAUCCCAAUUCUUCCAAGUCUCAUCUAUGGUAAUCUUUAGCGGUCGCAAGUCAAACCACCAAAAGUUGUUGAAGAUGUCUCUCGGUGCUUCGAUAUGACUAAUUAUCCAUAGGUACAACAUAGGGACGCAGCAUCUCAUAGCUCCUUUUCCAUGUGUCCGGCAGUGACUAAGAGAUAACAUGGUUUCCCCCAAGAUGGCUGAGGAAGGAUUGAUCCGGUCACGCUCAUACUCAACGAAGACACUUGCUGCUUCUAAACUGAUGACCCCAGUUUCAGAAGGGAACAACACUAGCCCAAAAAUAGCGAAGGCCACCAACCUAUAUCGCUCGUCUCCCAACUUGCCUUCUUCGGCAUUUUUCCUCAUUCGGGCUUCAAUGACCUUCCAUUUAAAACCCCCUUCAGCAACUCUACACUGGCUGAUCUUUCCUAAACUUAAUAAGCUGAUUACUUCCGAAGCUGUGUCUUCAAAUCUGCGUCGGUGGUAGAUUCGGUGGCUAUCAUUUGGAAAGUCCAGAAUUCUCUCAUAUUCUUCCAAAGUGGGUGUCAUAUCGAUGUUUCCAAAGGUAAAACACCGAUAACUCGGAUCCCAAAAAUGCAGAAGGGGCUUUGAUCGCCGCUGCUUGUACAGGUAACCUCAUUAUCUGUGUAAUUCUCCCAUAUCGCCUUUCAAACAAAGUCUCAUCGACAUAUUCCAUGAUAGGCAGCAACUUUCCUAAGUCGUUUACCAUGUGAUUUACCUUGGUAAUGCAUGGUAAACCACUAGUAUCGAUUCUUGGGCAUUUUCCUUCGGCAAUCUGAGCCAACUCAGACUCUUGUCCAUAUUCUUGGAAAGAGAGGUACUUAGUCAUGAUUUCAGCUCAAAAACCUGGGUAGAUGAAUUCAACAGUAUUAAACGUGAUGCAAAAUGAAAGUAAGAUUCACAACCUAAGGACAAGCUCUAAUUAUCAAGUGAGAAUGGGUAGUUUUUCUAUCUGGUCUUGAAGGGUCUCAUAUCUGCCCAGUGACGUUCUUCGUAAAGAAGUAUGGGGGCGUUGCAAGGAACAGUUAAGACACGUAUGCCCACCAUUACCAAGCAGGCACUCAGAUAUGAGUUGGGUGUUUCACGCAUUUAAACCCUGACCAAUAGUCUUAGGGUAAAUCGCUAAUUCCCCACUUAACUUAAAGCUUGUGUGUGCUUUUUAAAAUUAAAGCAAGUGAUGCAUGAGACAAUUGUAUAGAAUGCAUGAAUAAUAUGAAUAAAAUAAAAUAAAUACGCAAAUAAAAGGACAGGCAUAUUAACAAUAAACACCCAAAAAAACACAAACAAAUCAGACAAAAACAAAGCUUAGUCUACAAGGUCCCCAGUGGAGUCGCCAUUCUGUCGCACGUAUGCGGCGUCGCGGCGAAAAACUAAGUUUUCCAUUUUUAAAACCACAAUGUAAUAUAUAUAUGGGGAUACGAGAAAAAUAUUUUUUUUUGGUAAAAAUGGAAUGGGAGUCGCCACCUAGUAUUUUGGUCACUAGGAACCCUAACUGGUCUCAGAGAUCGGGUACGGGGACUGGUUGCGUAAAGGGAAGGUAUUAGCACCCCAAUACGCCUUACCUAAGGUAAGCUGCAUUGUUUAUUGUCUGAUAAAACUAUGGUGUUUUUUUUUUCUAGUCGUUGGUCUGUCUAUGGUUCAAGAAAAAUCCUCCUCAGUAAGAAGGUCUUUUAUCUUAUCGGGUAAAAACUUAACCGUUCUAACGUCUACCAAAAAAAUAAUAUUUAGGAAUACGUUUUACGUAUAAAUUCGUAAUCCCAAAUACUAAAAGAAAACAAAAAGAUUUUUUAGAAUUUUUGAAAUAUUGGCCUAGUUCUCAUGGCUUAAAUAAACUGGUUAUUCAAGCCAAAAUGCAUGCUAAUACAUAUAUUGUUUUGAAAAUUUUCUUUGUUGUGUAAAAAAUGAUGUUAUAAUAUUUAUAUCUAUAUAUAUGGAGAGACUAAGCCGUAUUUUAAAGACAAAAACAAUUUUUGAAAAUAUUAUUAUUAUUAAUUCUUUUUUUUUUGCUUUUUUUGACGUAAAUCGGGUAUUUAAAUACUGAGCUUGUAUCCUUACGGUAUAAAAAUACAACCCAAUAUUAUUCCACCUUAAUAAAAAAUGCAGAAAAAUCAAACAACAUUUUUAGGUAUUUUUAGAAAUUUUUUUGAAAGCAAAAACAUUUUUUAUUCGAAAAAUCUUUGAUAUUUUUACGAAAACCGGGUAUUUUUAACACUGGUUUGAUAUCUUUACAGUAUAAAAAUACCAACCAACAUUAACCCAUUUUGACAAAAAUAUUCAGGGAAAUCAACAAUAUUUUUUAAGAUUUUUCGAAAUAUUUUUUUUUUAGUAAAAAAUAUACACAAUAUACACACAUAUAUAUUACAAUAUACUAUAAUUAAUAAUAUAUUUAUAAUAAAAAUUCGGGUUGGGCGGACCAAAUGAAUGGGCCGAACCCAACCCAGCCGGAAUCGGGCCCAACAUCAGCCCGAAACAGGAGUGGGCCGAUCGCAGCCCAGCAAAAGGCUGGGCCGAUCUCGGCCCGCAAGGAGGUUGGGCCGAUCUCGGCCCAACGAAAGGCUGGGCCGAUCUCGGCCCGCAAGGAGGUUGGCCGAUCGGCCCAACGAAAGGCUGGGCCGAUCUCGGCCCGCAAGGAGGUUGGGCCGAUCUCGGCCAACGAAAGGCUGGGCCGAUCUCGGCCCGCAAGGAGGUUGGGCCGACUCGGCCAACGAAAGGCUGGGCCGAUCUCGGCCCGCAAGGAGGUGGGCCGAUCUCGGCCCAACGAAAGGCGGGGCCGAUCUCGGCCCGCAAGGAGGUUGGGCCGAUCUCGGCCCAACGAAAGUGGGCCGAUCUCGGCCCGCAAGGAAGUGGGCCGAUCUCGGCCCACACAAGGCUGGGCCGAUCUCGGCCCGCAAGGAAGUUGGGCCGAUCUCGGCCCAACACAAAAAACAUCUUUAGCCUGGGCCAGACUCGGUCUGGCCCAAAAUGAAUAACAACAAAACUGGGCCGGAAACCCGGCCCAGUGUUAAAAAAAACUCAGCGGGGAAGGGAAAACAAUUCCCUUCCCCUACCUCCUGCAUGCAGAACGAUUCUGCAUGCAGGAGGACAAACAGAAAAAAAAAGUGCAGGGGGUGGAGGAAAUACCUGGCACGGCGGAGGAAAUACCCGUGUUGAUGGUGCUGCAGCAAAGUUGGUGGCUCCCAAGCGACGGUGCUUAACAGUCGGGUGUCCUCUCGGGUCGUGUCGGUUAACGUUUUCUCUAACUCUCCCCACGGCUUCAGUCUUCUUCCCCUCCUCCCCGUGCUGUUUCUUCGAGUUUUAGGUGUUUAGUUCUACUGUUUAAGUCGUCUCUCUCUCCUCCAGUUUCUCUCUCUCUCUUGGUCUCGGUCUCCCCUUUUUUCUCCUCUUUUUCCCCCGUGCUUCACAUCUUUCCUCUUCUUUUAUAGGCGGGCAAAGGAGCGGGGCUGCAUGGGCAGCGUGGGGAGCAGAACAAGGUGGGUCGAGCUGGGCAACGUGGGGGGCAGCGCCGGUCGGCUGGUCGGUGAGCGUGGUCGAUCACGGCGUGGCCCUCCUGGCUUCGCGUCGUCCGAGGUGCAUGGGCCUGGUCUGUCAGUGCACGUGAGGAGAGAGGGGCACCGGUUGAUUAAACAACGGUUUCGUCCAUGCUGCUGCACGUUCGGGGAGGAAGAAGAAAGGGAACAGUGCCGUUCAAAACGGCACCGUUUGGUCCCUUUUUUUUUUUUUUUUUUUUUUUUUUUUAAAAUAUAUGAAACGGCGUCGUUUUGGGGAAAACGCGCCGUUUCAUUUAAAAAAAGGCGCCAGAAUACGCAAAAUUUCAACUCAGCCCUCAAUUAUCUUUUGAUUCCUUCAAUUGCGUCCCUGCCAAUUUCGGUCCUCGCCCCCAUAGUUGGCCGCGUUUUUCAUCUUGGUCCUUGGCCUCUGAUUUAUGCAAUUAAGCCCUCAAUUGACCAAUAAACUCCAAUCUUCAAUUACGCCCCUGAUCAAUCAAGACAGCCCUCUAUUUACCGCGCGUGUUCCAAAUUGGUCCCUGGUUUCGGAUUUUCACAAUUAAGCCCCUAAUUGGCCAUUAAACUUCAAUAUUUAUGCAAUUAAGCCCCUGAUUUGGCCUAAUAAAUUCCAAAAAAAUAUAUUUUGGCCCCAGAACUUAAAUUUCUCCCAAUUAAAACCCAAAUUGACCUAAAAAUAAAUUUUUCUUGCACUCCAAUCCUCUAUAAAUUCAAAUAAAAUCCAAUUAAGUCCCUAAACAUCCAAAUUUGGGCUUUUCUCCUCAAAAAUUCAAAUUUUCCUUCUCAACAGGGCUCUCAUCCUUCAAGAAAAUAUUGCCAAAAAUCCAAUCUCUGUAUUUUUAACCUCCGUGACCAAUCUUUCGACCAUUUUCUGAGCGCUUAUGCCUCCUGUUAUUUUUUCUAACCUUCUUCGGCUAUUUAUUUAUUAUUAUUUUUUUGUGGGGAUCCAAAAAUGGGUUACAACAAUAAUAUACAAAACGGACAUCUAGUUCUUGUUCGUAAAUUCAAAAUCAAAUGGUGGGAUUCUUUCAAAAGUUCCAAAUUAGCUGUUACAGAAUGGUUACAAAAACAUCAAAGAACUCCCAUCAUUGAUCAUCAUCCUCAAUCAAAGUUUCUAGCUAGAAAGGCUCAAACGGCAGCUCUCCUUACCUUUGCUAGAACUGAAGAAGAAUACCUACAAAUAGUUCAAAGCAUUAUACAAAGCCAAGACCAGAAAACGGUCUUGUCCCAAUCCAGCUCAUCUAGAUCGAUAUCUCCUGUCAUUUCCCUUGGAGAUGAUAAUGAAGAUGAUUGUUUUGGUAUCCUACCACCUAUCAAGCAACAUUAAAAAAAAAAGAGUAUUUUUCAAGCUUUCUCAGGCUCAUCUGUUUAGAGCCAUAUCUUUUCGACUCACCUGUUUUAAGUUCUUUUUUAUUUUAAGCCCAUUUGUUUUAGGCUUUCUUUUACAAAUAUUACCUACUACUACAAACAAACAAUCCAGUGUCGGUGGCAAGAAGACAACAGAUGAAAGUCCCAUAAAAAACAUGGGCAUUUUCCAUUUUGUCGUCACCCAAUCAUGGCAGGCAAUACCACAUGGGUUCACAGCAAUACCACAUGGGUUCUGAUGGAAUCUUCAAGCUUUCCCAACAAGACAUUUUGGCCUCUUCCAUGUCAACUCGUCUAUAAAAGGGGACUCCUAAAUCUUUAGAAGGCAGAGUAUCAUUUUCCCUGAUAAAAUUUUAUUCUCCCUUGUAACCCAUACCUGUAACCUAUAUCCACUCUCCUAUGUACCCAAUAUCUCUUGUAUUAAUUUACAUUACAAAUUUAAAUACGACUCUAUUUUCAUUAUUUACAUUCUUGUUAUAUUUUAUGUAUGUUAAGUAUGCUCUGUGUUUAAUCAAGGAUCCUGACAUUGUUGGUCUUGCCUUGUUCAUUCACAUCAGAAAUAUGUUUAUAUUAUAUAUUUCUUUGAUCUUUUCAUAAAACAGCAUAUAGGCUGGAAACUUGUGACCUGAUCUUUUAGAUCAUUCUUAGGUAUAACAACGCCACGUACUGAGUAUUUCUUUUCAUAUUUUGGUGUGUGUGUGUGUGAGAGAGAAAGAGAGAGAGAUAAAAUUAAGACCAUUGAGGUUAUUUUUUAGGCUUUGACUCUUUUUCUUUAAAGCUUUGACGUUUAGGGGUGAGCAAAAAAUCAAAUAACCAAUUAAAUUGAGAAAACCAGAAAAAAAAAUCAAACCAAGACAAAAAACUGAAUUAAUCGAUUAGAAAAUGAUAAAAAAAAAAUCGGUUUAGUUUGGUUUCCAAAGUCUGAAACCUAUUGAAUCGAAUCGGUUCAAUUAGGUCAGCACUUGAAAAAAAAAACAGGUAUAAAUAAGAUAUUUUUUUCUAACCCUAAACCUAAAUCGGUAUUCCCAACCGCCCCCUCCCUUUGCUCCGCCUCUCUUUAUCUCUCGUCUCUCUCAAAUUGCCUCCUUCUCCUCCGUGCUCCAUAACUAUUAAAAUAUAUGCUCCUCUAUCCUCUCGAUCAAAGGCACACUUGAAAUUAGAUAGUUUUAGAAAGGAAAGACAUAAGAGGAAUUGAAAUCACUGAACUAAAAAGAAAGGGUAUAUAAGCUGAAUAAAAGGUUAACAUAAAAGUUCUCAAAAAGAGAAAUGUUGAGAGGGAGCUUAACCAGCUAAAACAAAAGGAAAAGUGACUUCUACCACUUAACGAAGAUAAAGAUGGAUGGUUAGGAUCUAUAAACUUUUUGUAAUUGGUUUCCUCUCAUUCAUAUAAUAAUGAUUUGAUAGUUUUACAUUUCAAUAACUUUUGAUCUCUCUUUUUUUUUUUUCGCAACCAAAUUACUUCAUUUCUUUUAUUUUCUUUUCUUUUGUUUCGUGUAUCUUUUUGCGAAGUUUAAUUUUUGGGCAAGGAUCUAACAAAAAAAAAUAUUAAGAUUGAUUUUCUGAAUAUCAUACAUGCCUAAUAGCUUUAAGAAAAAGUCAUACUUGUUGAAAAAACCAAGAUGUCUUGGAAAAAUAUGGCUAAUAAAAAAACUUAGAAAAAAUUCAACCAAAAUAAUUUUGGUUUAAACCGGUUUGGAAUAAAAAAAACCCAAAUUAAACCGAAUUAAAACUAAUCAAUUUAAAAUAAUUUUUAAUUUGAAUAAAAAACUUUUAAAAAAAUUAAUUAUUUAUUUUAAUUCAAAACCGUACACGACUGAAAAUGCUCAGCCCUAUUGACGUUCGUGGUUUUGAGGGUGAGAGAAAUGGAAAGUAAAGGGGAAAGAGAAGAGGGUUGCUAAGAUGGAAACCACUUAUUUGAUCUACAGGGGUUCCAUUCUGAUAUUACCAAAUUUCCACGACAGAUGAAAUCACAUAUAAGCCCCUCAAUUAUUACAAAAUGUCAAAAAAAAAACUCAUAAAACCAUCCCAAACUACUAGAUAUUUAAAGUACAGUGAACAGAGACACAAAGGAGAAAAUAAUAUUGGACUCAUUAAAAACUAAUAAGAAUUCUGCUAAAAAAAUUAUUAUUAUUUCAUGUUUCUAUCUUUUAAUUAUAUUGUGCAUUUUUUUUUAUUUGGUAAUUUUAGAACGCUGUGAUAUUGCAUAAAGGGUUUGUGUUAAUCGUUAUUCUCUUGUGGAGCAAAAAGUAAAGCAAGCAUGGGCAGGAGGACAGCUUCUUGCUCUCUGUUUCUGUUUUUCACUCUUUUCACAACCUUGCAGAGUCCAAUUCUGGCUGCAAAAAAGGCAAGCUAGCAUGCAUUAAUGUUGUCUGAUCGUUUAGUCUUUCAAGUUACAUUUGCAAUCUAUCUUAUGUUAUAAUUCUGCUACUGACAGUGAUACCGGUGUCUGUGUACGUACAGUCUUAUGUGGUUUACCUUGGGAGACAAUCUUAUGCUUCUGAACCUUCCACCACUGACCUGGAUAGGGUAGCCGAUGCCCAUCAUGAACUUUUGGGUUCUUGUAUGAAGAGGUGAUGCAGUGCUGAGAAUUUCAGAUCUGUGAUCCAUGGUGUAUUUGGUUGUUCUAAUACUGAUGAUCAAGUUUGAAUUCGUUAUGACAGCAAGGAGAAGGCGAAACAAGCCAUCUUUUACUCCUACACUCGUUAUAUUAACGGUUUUGCAGCAGUACUGGAAGAUGAAGAAGCAGCUGAAAUUUCAAGUAUAUAUAAUACUAUUAUAAUUGUUCAGCAUGUAAAUCGUGAAAUCCUUGAUAAUAUUACAAAUAUGGUCUUGUUAAUACGUUUUCAGAGCAUCCAGAAGUUGUAUCAGUUUCUCGAAACCAAAUAAGGCAAUUACACACAACAAAUUCUUGGGGCUUUCUUGGACUGGAAAGAAAUGGAGAAAUUCCAGCUGAUUCUAUGUGGCUAAAGGCAAGAUUUGGUGAAGACGUAAUUAUCGGGACCCUUGAUAGUGGUAAUUAUAAUUUUACAUGUCUGUGUACAUGCAUAGAACUGGUCAAGUCUCCUUCAUAUCAUUUCAUCUUCUUAAUUUAAAUGCAUUCAAUUAUUUUGGACCAGGUACAGCUACCUUGCAUCUGAAAGAAAAAUCUCCAAUGAUGGUUAAUUUUCAAUCUAUUAUUCUUGACUGUGCAUGAUGCUAGGUGUUUGGCCAGAAUCCAAAAGCUUCAAUGAUGAAGGGAUGGGGCCUGUUCCAUCUAAAUGGAAGGGAUACUGUGAUCCAAAUGAUGGGAUUAAAUGCAACAGGUACUUUAAUUUCUUUCUCAAGGCCAGAGCUCUUUUCUUGACCUGAACUACUCAUUUUGCCUCUGAUAAUGAACCGCAGACAAAUUCUUCCGUUUCCUAUAGUAAGAUUAGUAACAUAAAAGAUAUGUUGUUAUUAGCAGGAAACUUGUAGGAGCAAGGUACUUUAGCAAAGGCUACGAAGCAGAAACACAUGAUUCUUCAUACCACACCCCGCGAGAUUAUGAUGGCCAUGGAACCCACACUCUAUCCACUGCUGGAGGUCGUUUUGUUUCGGGGGCAAACUUGCUUGGUUCAGCUAAUGGAACAGCGAAGGGUGGUUCGCCCAACUCGCGAGUCGCUUCAUACAAGGUCUGCUGGCCCCUCUGUAGCGAUGCUGAUGUGUUGGCUGGCUUUGAAGCUGCUAUUCAUGAUGGGGUCGAUAUCCUCUCAGUGUCACUUGGAUCCGGUCCGGGAGAAUACAUUACUGAUGGGAUUGCAAUUGGAGCAUUUCUUGCUAUGGAGCGCGGGAUUCUUGUGGUUGCCUCGGCUGGAAAUGAAGGACCUGACCCUGGAGUCGUUGGGAAUGUAGCUCCCUGGAUUCUUACAGUUGCUUGUAGCACUAUCAGUAGGGAGUUCACAUCUAAUGUCAUCCUUGGAAAUAACAAACACUACAAGGUUUGUUCUGUAAGCUCAUAUCUUUAGCAAGUCCUUUUAAAUUGUUCUACCUAUCAUGGGAUCCAAGAAUUUGCUAUAUUAAUUUCUAGAUAAUCAGGGUAUGAGUUUUAAUACCAACACUCAACCAGCUGGGAAGUUUUACCCCUUGAUCAAUUCGGUGGAUGCUAAAGCUGCCAAUGUUUCCAGUAAUCAAGCGUAAGCAGCAAACUAAUUUUGUUCUCAGCCAAAAUUACAUUUUCUGUAGUUGUCAGGUUCAUAUUUCUUAUCUUGUUGUCUUUGGCAGAAAAUAUUGCUCCAUCGGAUCCCUUGACCCCUUGAAAGUUAAAGGAAAAAUUGUAUAUUGUACUCGCAACGAAGAUCCUGAUGUAGAAAAGAGUCUGGUUGUUUCUCAAGCUGGUGGUGUUGGGGUGAUACUUGCUAACCGAUUGAUAAUUCAACAAAUCCGACCUUGGUGUUGGGGUGAUACUUGCUAACCGAUUGAUAAUUCAACAAAUCCGACCUCGGGCACACUUUGUUCCUACUUCCGUUGUCUCUGCAGACGAUGGACUUUCCAUUUUAACUUAUGUUUAUAGUACAAAGUAAGGUCUAUGUAAUAGAUAAUUCAGACAAUUAAACUCGGUUGAUUUCAGUCGAUAAUGCGCUGAACAAUCUAUCGUUUGCGAUCCUGUGAAUCUCUUGGAACUUCUCCUUUCACUCAGGUCACCUGUAGCUUACAUAAGUGGCGCCACGGAGGUGGGAACAGUGGCUGCACCUGUCAUGGCUGAUUUUUCAUCUCCUGGGCCUAACUUCAUCACCCCAGAGAUCCUUAAGGUACGUACUCUUAACAGUUUCAAAUGAGCGUUUUAAAAUACAUGCUCAAUAUUAUUUUUAUAGUGAGAGUGCAUCUGCUGAUUUCAGCCCGACAUCACCGCACCUGGAGUCAAUAUUCUAGCUGCCUUCACCGGAGCAUCAGGGCCAACUGAUGUGCCAGGAGACCGGCGCCGAGUACAUUUCAACUUUUUAUCUGGAACCUCAAUGGCAUGCCCCCAUGUUUCCGGAAUCGCUGGUCUUCUCAAGACUAUGCACCCUGAUUGGAGUCCUGCUGCAAUUAAAUCUGCAAUCAUGACAACGGGUUAGUGCUUUUCUGCUCUUCGCAUUAGCAUCUUCAAGUUAUUGGUGGACGAGUCAUUGAUACCUUGAGUGCUUGCUUACGACAUUUCAGCGACAACGAUCAGUAAUGUGAAGCAGCCUAUCGCGAAUGCUUUUCUUCUUGAGGCAAACCCAUUGAAUUAUGGUGCCGGGCACAUCUGGCCUAGCCGUGCAAUGGACCCAGGCUUGGUCUAUGACCUAACGACUAAAGAUUACGUGAAUUUUCUAUGCUCCAUUGGCUAUAACUCAACCCAGUUGUCACUUUUUAUUGGGAAGCCAUACAUAUGCCCGUCGCAGAACAAUGGCCUGCUGGAUUUCAACUAUCCAUCCAUUACUGUCCCGAAUCUCUCAAGCAAUAAGACCACGUUGUCCCGAACCUUGAAGAACGUGGGGACUCCAAGCUUGUAUAGAGUUAAUAUCAGGGCACCUGGAGGCAUAUCUGUGAAGGUUGAGCCAAGAAGCUUGAAGUUCGAUAAGAUAAACGAAAAAAAAAUGUUCAAGGUCACUCUAGAGGCUAAGAAAGGGGUUAAGAGUGAUGACUAUGUGUUUGGAGAGAUAACCUGGUCUGAUGGGAAACACCAUGUGAGGAGUCCUGUUGUGGUGAAGAACAUGGAAGUAGCAGCCUAAGAUUGAAGGACAAUGACCAGGCGUCUGGAUUUGUAGGUGGAAGGCCAGCGUGUAGAGAUCUAUGUAUCUCCAUGGUCAACAAAUCGAUCUUCAAAUUCCCGUUCCAUGCCAUGACAAA